rnacentral:lncRNA from 1 species
GGAUUCAAGAAAUAUGGCAAGAAACUACCUUUUUAUUCAUUAGUUCUCAGCCGUUCCAUUGGAAAUCCAAAACAAAACAAAGAGAAAGACCCCAAGCCAAAUACCUCAAUUAAAAAAGAAAAAGAAAAAGGGGGGGUUUUGAGGGGCUUAAUUUAAGUACAACUUUGAAACAAAUGGAAUUCCUAGGAGGGAAGUAAACAACUUAGUAGCCUUUAGGCUUGUAGGCAAUGAAACUAAUGCACUGCACUUGACGAACGUUGUCGAACCCAAUGAUUCUAAUGAAUGCAUUGGGGUAUUCCUUCUUGCAAUUCUCAAGCUCCUCCAACACCUGAGCCGAGUCAGUGCACCCAAACAUGGGCAGUUUCCACAUGGUCCAGUAGCGUCCAUCGUAGUACGUGGGUAAGCUCGAGUACUUACGGUGCACGAAUCCCUCCUGCACAUACAUAUAAAACACAUUUAAUCAAAUCAAAUAUCCCACUAAAAAAAUAAAGUGUUGGAAAGGAAUAAUUUAGAGCUCGAAAACACCUCUAAUUCGAAUUCCAAGCAAGGAAUCCAUUUAGAGCGAAGAAGGUAAUCUACUUCCUUAGCCAACUGUACGGGUGUAAGAUCGGGGAGGUAUGAGAGUGUCUCGAACUUCUUCUUCCCAAGAGGAGGCCACACCUAUACUCAAAAGCCAAGAUAUAUAUUUGAUUCAAUUUAUGUAAUUUGUUGUGUUCAAACAAUUGGGGUAAUUUAAGUUGUAUUUAUGCAUCACCAAGUACCUGCAUGCAUUGCACUCUCCCACCAUUGCUUGCAAGAGAAGUGAUGUCGUUGUUGGCCUUCCUAGUGACUGGGAAAGCAGAGGCAGACUUGAGGCCGGUGAAGGGGGCCACCAUGUUGGCCUGUGCCGGGGAGGAGCAGUUCACGGUGGCAAUGGUUGCCGAUGAGAUCAUGGAGGAGGCCAUUGCUAUUACUGCUUACUAGUACUAUAUGCUACAGUUAUACAAAAGAGUCUCACUGAUCCCUUAAUAGUGUCACUGCCUUGGUGCAAUCCCCUAUAUAUAGUCAUAAAAUUUGGCCUAAGCUCACAACAUUUAGAGAUUGGUUUGGGAGAAAGGGUGACCGUUGGAUCCUAAAUCAGAUGACAUUACAACCAUUAUGACCACAAAGAGGGUGGAAACUUUUCUUGAAUGGUAAAGCCUUAUCUUUGGCAACCUGCCACGUGGAAGAAGCACAGUGAUCUUAUCUCAUUUCAUCCAAUGGAAACCGUGAAUGCCUGAUUUCUCCUUUGUCCCCUCUUCACGGUCCCAUUUGGCCAUUCCCGAUUCAAAAAAAAUCUAUGUCCAUACCUUGUUUGCUUGGUCAUGCUUGCCUUUUGUGUUUUUACCUUUCGCCUUAUCUUCAAAUAUGGUAACUCGGUAACCAAGUGUUAAUUCUUUCAUAUAAUUUUGAUGUCGAUUAUAGGAAUUAAUUGUUAACAUGAGCGCAGCUACAGUUGUAGUGGCAUGAUUUAAAAAAAAAAACUGUUAAAAAGGAGAAGGUAAUAUUAUUCUGACUAGACCUUUCUGAUGAUUAUAAACUGUUGCAGCUAAAAGAUGGAAGCAUUUUUUAGGAUUGGAAUGUAUGAGAGAAUUAAUGGCAAGUUACUGAAACAGGCUCUUACUUCAAGACCCCGCAACAUUGAAAGCCUUCCAACAAAACAAACAGUGAUUUUGGCAAUCAUUAGCAUGCAGUUAUAGAUGGCGCUUUUCUUUUUCCCUUUUUUGUAUUUAAAUACAAACAAAAAGGCUUGUAUCCCCAAAGAAUCUACAACAAGGAUUGGGGAAGAUUCAUAUAUAUGGAUUCCAUGUUUGAUUGCCUUGAGAUGCGAACAGGACCCAGUAAUGUGAGGGGUGAACCUUUGAUAAACGAAAGGAAGUUUGAUGUCACCAUUUUCGAGGAUAUAGUUUUGGAAGAAAAAGGGGGAGAAGAAGGAGAGUUGGCACAAUUUUAUAGUUCUGCAUCAUGACAUGAUUGUCCAUGUUCACUGCAGUGUACAAAUAUUAGGGUAUUACAAAUACAAUUUCCAACUCUGGAAAUAUUUUCUAAAUUUGGAGGUCAAAGUGUGGCCUGUUAGUCUCCUGGAAAACAGAUUAUGAUGAAGCCAACCAUUUUUUUAUAUUAUGCCACACUUGAAAUGCCAAUAAUUAUAUUCAGUAUGUUUGGAGAAAGAAGAAAGGCACACAUUUAUUUACCCACAACCACAGCUAAUUUACACAAGACCAAAAUCCAACGGAUUCCUGUACAAAACAUUAAUACACACUCAAUAAAUAUAACAAUACUAAACUAAAUCUUUUAAUCUUGAAGAUAUGAAUUAUUGAAAGAAAAUGAAUAUUUGAUAAUUACUGAAAAGUUAUAUGUUAGAUAAAAUACUUUAGUGAAUAAAUAUAAAUAUAACUAUUUAUAUUAAAUACAAGAUCUUGAACAAAUAAUAUAAACAAAUAUUUAUAUUCAUGUAAAAACACCAGAUCUAAACAAAACAAAUUAAAUAAAUAUUUAUAUUUAUUUAAAACAUCAUAUCUGAAAAAUAAUUAAAUAAACAAGAUCUUGAAAAAUCAGAAAUCGAAUAAGGGAAUCGAGUUUUACUAGAUGUUGAGGCCUGUUUUCACAGUUUCCAUAAGAUGGAUUCGGCAGUUCCUAGGGUACUUGGAGAAACGUUGGUCGUCUGUCUUCCAGGAUACAACAACAAAAUGAUCGUGGGAGUAGUGCUUCUGCAAUGAUCAAUGAACAAACCUUGCCUUUUUCUAUCACCGAACAUUUGAAAAUUUUGGAGAGAAAAGGAAAAGAAUUUUCGAGAGUGAAAUAAAUUCGUUGUGUAUCUCUAAAAAAUUCUGCAAUAUUCUUUAGGCUUUUUUAGGCAUUCAAUGUAGAGGAAUUUUGGAAAUUUCCAUGAAUAAAGAUACAAAUCUACAUUAAAGGAGCCUUUAAAUCAAUUUGAAUAAAAUAAAAUCAAAUUUGAUUGGAAUCAAAUUAAAACGAGAUAUUUGGCCUUUUAAAACAGAUUUUGUAUAAUAUUUGCUAAGAAAAAAAAAUACAUAUUGGGCUAACAUAUUCGCAGGCCUAAAAGGGCCCGAUCGGUCUAAACAUUUCGCGUUACCCAUGUCAUGCGAGUGCGUCCCCAACCCCGAUGGAUUUGGAUUUGCACCCCUUGAGCACAAGGGAGAGCAUUAGUUUACCAAUAACCAUUUAGUUGGUUUACAUAUAUAUACAAGUUCCACACUUGAUUCCUAAUCAAUGUGGGACUAAUGCUUUUUCAUUUUUUCUUAACAUAAUUCCCAAGUAGCUUACUUUAAGCAUCAAUUUCUCAUUCAUCACUCAACCAUUUUGAACAUAUGAUAUCCCAUUGUAAAGGUCUCAGGGGUAGAACAUUAAAUUAUAAUUUUAUGAUUCAAAACUCCUCAUUUACCAAUCAAAAAUAUGCCUCAAAGAUUUCAAAAAAAAAUCAUAUUUUUCCAACAAUGCCCCACAUGAAUGAAAUUGAUAAUUUUAACGAUAAGCAUUGACUGAAUGGGGUGAUAGAUUCUAUGAUUGAUAGUUGCAUAUGAUAGGUAGACAUCAACUCUUGUACCUUCCCUUGUGAAAGUAUAUUUACUUUACUAGCUAACCAAUAGACUCAAUGUCCUUGAACUAUUCUGCCGUUUGUGUAAAUAAUGAUAUACCUCACACAACUACCUUAUUGGCAAGGUCUUCGUUCUCAUGGGUAUGUUCAUAUGGCCAUGAACAUUUCUUGUGUAACACCCUUCGCCCGUAUCCCUCGUCGAAACAGGGUUCGAGGUGCUACCAGAUUUAAACUCAACCAUUUAUAUAAAACCAGUCCGUAAAAAUUUUUGAUCAAUUUUAAACUUUUCAUACACGCAUAUAUUAUCCUUUAAUCGGGCUUACAAGGCCCCAAAACAUUCAUGAGGCAUUAUUAAAUAUUUACCAAUAUCUUAGUCUUGUAUCAUUUACUUACUCAACAAUGAAUCACAAUUCAAAUUCUAAAUAUACAUGCUAUAAACCACAUCACAGGAGAUAAUAACAUACAAGCAUAUGAAUAAUCAAACUACCUUAAUAAUAAGCCAAAGUCUUUGGCUUAAUCAUAAUAUUACAUACUCAACUUUACAACCCUAUACAUGCCAUAGACUCAGAAUACUAAAAUUUACUUACGCCGAUAGCGUAAACUCGACAAUGUGAUAAUAUCUCUGACGGCCUCCAACCCGAGCUAACCUGGCAACCCUAGGGAAUAUGGGAAAGAAAAGGGGAGUAAGCUUUACGCUUAGUAAGUUCAUAAGAAAAUAAUAAGCAACUUAUUAACAAGUUUUAUCAAUGUUUACAACAUAAUCACAAAUUCACUACAAGUUGUCUUCUUGAGCAAUAGUCACUAAAUUAUUUAUAACUGGAGCUACGAAACUCCAAAUCAAUUGCCGUUAAUUUUCCCUGAAAAUAGACUAAUAUAUCUUCUAUCCAUAGAAUUUUCAGAAUUUUUUGUUUGGCCAAUCAAUACCAGAUUUUUCUUAAAGUUUUCUCUAUUUUACUGUUUGACUAAUCUGACCACUCUUCACUAUGAAUCAAAUUUCUCAUUGUACAGAAUUCAAAAUAUGUUCUCAUUGAUUUCAUUUGAAACUAGACUCAUUAAGGAGUCUAAGAAUAUAAAUUUUAUCUUAUAAAAUUUUUUGUACAAAUUAUAAUGAUUUUCUAAAAACAGAAUAAGGGACCCUAAAGUCAUUUGACUCUGUCCCACGCCACUUCAAAUAUCUCAUUAUUAGCAAUUCUUUUUCUUACAUGGUUUCUUUUAUAAGAAACUAUACUCAUUAAGCUUUAAUUACAUAAUUUAUUCAGCUUCUAACUCAACUCCCACAAUUUAUGUUGAUUUUCCAAAAUCACGUUACUGCUGCUGUCCCAAGCAGAUUUAUUACAAAUUUACUCUUUCACACAUUCUUUGCAUUCAUAUUAUUUAAACAUGUAUAUCACCAAUCAAUUUCAUCACAUAUCUAUAAUUUCACUUAAGCAUAAUCACAAUACAAUACAUCAUGCUCAAUGAUUCGCACACAACCGUUCAAAUUAGCAAUUAUAAGAUGGUUCCGCACAUAGCCCACCCUUAUCGAUAAUUUACGAUGGUUUUACCCUUACUCACAUAUAUGACAUAAGCAUUUAAAUACUUCAGUGUCUACUUUAAUUCAACCAAAUUCAACCAUUGUACCAUUUCAUAACCACAGUUACUUUCGUCAUUCAUAUCUAAAUGGUAUUUCACAUAAUUCAUAUAACCUUUCACCAUGACCGAAUACACACAUACACAUAUGACAUCUUCACCUAUGCUUCUCAUUUCACAUUCGUGAUUCAAUUCCAAUCGAUCUAACAUGUAUAAGUAUAUAUCACAUACCUGGCCAACUUAAUGUAUUGAACGAAUUCAAUUGCCGAUUUAACACAAGGUCUCAUAGUCUUAGACUUUUAUCAAAUCACCGGCAUUUAGCCUGCUAGGUUUUAAACCCGAAUUCAUCACCGGCACGAAGCCUGCUAGAAUUUAAGUCUGAACUCAUUCACCAGCAUUUCGCCUGCUAGGCUUGAAGCCCGAUAUCAUUUCACCGACAUUAUAGCCUGCUAGGCUCGAAGCCCGAUAUUAUCUCACCGGUAUUAUAGCCUGCUAGGCCCAAAGCCCGAUAUUAUCUCACCGGCAUUAUAGCCUGCUAGGCCCGAAGCCCGAAUAUCACAUUUCGAUAAACAAUUCACCUGUUCUUUCAUACUUUCAUAACUUAUACUUCAAUUACGUAUAACUGAAAUACAUAUCUAUGAACAAAGAUUUUCAUCCUCUCAACCACAUAGGGUUUAAUUUCCACAUUGGAACACAUAUCUUAGUACAUCAUUUAAUAGUAUCAAAAUCGACUAGAUAUGCUAGUCACAUACGGCUCAUAACUUUAAUUUAAUAUUCAUUCAAUACAAAGAACAUAUGUAUAUAUAUAUACAAUCAAACAUCUUCUUAAUUAUGAUUAUUCAACUCUUAAGCAUAUAACAUGAUCAAACACAAACACUUAAGAACUUACAUUGGAUUUUAUCGAAUAACUACAGAUUGACUAAUCGACUAGUUUUGCUUUCCCUUUAUCCAAAAUUGGCUCCUUAUGCUCUUGAGCUUGAUUAACAAAUUCAACUUAUCACAUCUCUAUUAUUUAAAACCACAUUUGGCAAUUUAUAAAAUACCAUAAUUAUCACAUCUCAUUCAUCCAAAAUCACAUUCGACACAUAAAAAAAAACAUUGAUAAGUCUCAAAACACAAACAACACUUAUCAAAUUCAUGUAAUUUACACACUUCACAUGGCACUACUACACUCAUUAACCUUACUUUCAUACAACCACUCUUCUUUGACCGAAUGCUAUAACAUCAAGUGCACAUGCUGUUCAUAUAGCCGAAUAUCACUUAACUAAUUAAUUAAAAAUCUUUUAAUACUUAAUUCCACAAGUCCAUUCGGCAUUAGCUCAUCCAACUCAUAUUUUUCAUUGACAACCUCUAUAACUACAAUUUAUUCACAUCCUUAUUCAUGCUACAUUCGGCCAUUAUAAAUAAAAAAAAAUAUAUAAAUAAUUACACAAUGAUCACUUUAGUCGAUUAUAAAAUUCUCAAUUAAAUCACAUAUAUCAUUUACCAGCUCAAACUCCUCCUUUACCUCAUUUCUCUCUUUAAUUCAUAUUCGGCAAUCUUUCUAACCGCUUAAACGAUUAUAGCACAAGGACAUUUUCAAUUCAAUCAAAGAUGAUCUGACAUUUACAAUUUGCAAAUGGUAAUUUCAUUCUAUUUAUCUCAAUUUACUAACAAACCCAACCUUGCAUGGAUUUAAGCACAUUCGGCCAUUAUUUAACAACAAUUCAUUCACAUCAUAAUUCAUGUUCAUAUUCGGUCAUCUAUACCCAUACUAACCGUAUAACUAUUAAAUUCCAAAUUUAAACACAAGUAUAACAUUUUAACACAAUGGCCGAACACUUCAUGAAGUUACCAAAACUCAUCAUUUGCUAUUUCACACACACUCACAUCCAAUCCUUUUUAUUAAACACUCAAAAUCAACCAUCUUCAUGCCUCAUCACAAAAACAUCAAAACACCAACCAAGAAAUACAACAUCCAUGGCCGAAUAUCAUCUCCAUCAAAUAGCAAAAUUUGAACCAUGGGCUAGGUAGAAUUCAAACUAACAACUUAAAAUAAUCAUGAAUUUCAAAGAAUAAUAUCAAUCAUACCUCAAUCUAGUUACAAGCAUAGCCGAACUUCUUAGAAACUUUUCCUUUUCUCUUUUACUUGGUUUUUUAGCUAAGGAAGAACAAAGAUGAACAAACUUUGUUCUUUUCACCCCUUUUUUAUUUCAUAUUAUAAAACAUUUAGUAAUUAUAUUUCUUAUAUAUAUAAAAUGCAUAUAUUACAAAUCAUCAUCAUCAUGGCCGGCCACUAACUUUAAAUUGGACAAUUUGACAUGCAAGUCCUCCCUUUUAAUAAGCCAUGCAUUAUUCGGUCACCUUAUUUCUUCCUAACACAUUCUUCAAGUUUAUCACAUAAGUCAUUUUUCAUAAUUUCACAUUCAAAUGACAAAAUUUAGACAUGAUACUUUCACACAUGAUACUUCACAUAUAAUAAACAUAGAAAAGAGCAUUUAAAUAAUUUUGUGACUUAGUUUUGUGGUCCCGAAACCACUUCCCGACUAGGGUCAAAUUAGAGCUGUCACAUCUUGGUUCUGCAAGAGUUUGAGAGAUGAUCUCCUCGAAGGGGCCCCACUUCGCUCUCACUUAGGUGACUUAUGUUACUCGGCUCUCCGAAACACACAAUCGUCAUUAAGAGCUUUGCUUAACCUAUCUCACUUUAAAUCACUAUUUAUAUCAUAGGAACAGACUUGGAAUAAGAACCCUCAUAGUGACCUCACAAGGCCUAUGCAAUUAGGUUGUCCCUUUGAACCUAGAUCUUGGGAUUCUAGUCAACUAGGUUGGGUUUUCCUUCACAUAGCACCUUUAAUUUCCAUGGACUUUAGUCCCAUUCCUUUCGAUGUUUUAUUAACCUGAUCUCAAUUUAAGCAUUUAGUUAGCAGAUCCACAAUGUUAUCUUUUGAUUUUACACAAUCUAGGCUAACUCGAUGCUCCUUCAACCAAUCCAUGCAAAAAAUAAGAUUGAAUUCACCGAAUGGAAGCUCCAUCAAGUCAGCUGGAAACAACUCUCCCUAAAUUUCUAAAAGAUAUCUCCUAAAAAUUUUAUUCACAUACACAAAUUGUCCUGGGGGACUGAGUAUAGUUAUGUCGCUAGCAUUGUUUUCCACCAGAACUCCGAAUUUGUCAGUCAUAGAGCAGGCAAUAUGAGAGUGAGUUGAUCCUACAUCUACCAAAGCAAAGUAUUGUACAAAAUUUUUUUGUAAAAGUACUUGUGUUAACAUUAGCUGCAUUACCGUUCUCCUGGUGCCUCGCUGUAUAAACCAAGGUGAGCUAUUUAGCAUUAAUGCAGUUCGCACCUUGACUAGUUGUCCUCUGCUUAGUAUUACCAUUUCUGUUUUUACUACACCCCCUUAGAUUCUGAUUCGAUUGGGGUUGCGGUGCUUACCUCUUACCCCUUAUUAGUGGACAAUCCUUAAUCUGUUGCUCCAUGGCCCCACACCUUGAGCAUACUCUCUUGCUUUGUCAACACUUGUAACACCCCUAACCCAUAUCCGUCGCCGAAAUAGGUUAUGAGGCAUUACCGGAUAAUACAUCACAUUCUCAUACAUUUAUGCAUUCAAUAUUAUAAACCAUUCACAAACAUUCACAUUGUCCUUUAAAAGGUUUUACGAGACCUUAAAUCAUGCUUAAAAGUGGUUCGGGACUAAACCGAUCACCUAUAAAAAUUUUCGAACACUUAGAAAAAUUUCAUGAAAUCAAAGGUCACAUGCCUGUGUGCAUAAGCCGUGUGCCUCACACGGCUACCAGACACGCCUGUGUCACAGGCCAUGUGAAAAUAGGGCAUACAUACUGACUUAUACCACACGGCCGAGGACAUGCCCGUGUGCUAGACCGUGUGAAAUUUAAGGGAGGUUAUUGAAUUAGGUCACAUGGCCAACCUCACACCCAUAUGCCAGCCCGUGUUCUACACAUGGCCAGUAGACAUGCCCGUGUGUCUAGGCCAUGUCAAAACUGUAUAGGCAGCCAAACCUAAACCACAUCAAAUUGCAUCAUUUCUAAACAUAUAUAGGCAGCCAAAACAUGCCAAUUCACACACAUACCAUGCUAUUUAUCCACAAUCAUUUCAACUACUCAAUUCCAUAUUCAAACAAACCAAACCAUUAUGCAAAAUUCAUCACAACAUACAUAAGUUCCAAAUACAUUAACUCAUUAUCUUAUCAUCUAUUCCAUAUCACAUAACACAUAACACAUUAUAAUAUCAUCUCAAAAUCAAACCACAUUAUGUCAACUUUUAAGCCAUAUUUCUUCAUCUAUAAACUAUACCAAACAAGCCAACACAUUAGGCAUUAUAAACAUCAUCUAUAUAUCACUUGACAAGCACAUAAUUCAAACCAACUUACAUGGUCAUAUACCAACAUUCACAAGCCAAAUCUCAUGGCUAAAAUCACAACUCAAAACAUAUCAAGAUGAUAAUAGCCUAUACAUGCCAUAUACCAUAUAUACAAAGCUUCUAAAAAUACCAACGAGAUGAUCGAUAGUGCGAUGACGUAUUCCUGAUGAUCCCCGAGUUCGAGCUAGCUUCGAUGAUCUAUAACAACAAGGAAAGAACACAUAAAGUAAGCUUUAAAAGCUUAAUAAGUCAUAUACAAAUAAAAUCAUCAUAUUAAUCACAAAAUUUCCAUUAUUAAGCCAAGUACAAUAUACACAUAUAGAUAUACAAACCUUUCUCAAUAAAAACAUAUUCAUUUUCUCAUGUAAACUCAACAACUACUUUAGUUUCCAAAUCUCAUAUAAAUCUCGUAUAUACCAGAGUCGUUUAACUUAUUAACACAUUCUUUCUCGACUUGUCUUUGCCCACUGAACCAUUCGGAAUUAUUAAGGAUACUCCAAAAUCAUAUAAGCUUGUACAAUGCCAUAUCCCAGAUAUGGUCUUACAUGUUAUCACAUAUCGAUGCCACUAUCUCAGAGAGGGUUUACACGAAAUCGAUUAACGACGCCAACGUCCCAGACAUGGUCUUACACAUAAUCUCAAUACAAUGCCAAUAUCCCAGACAUGGUCUUACUUAUAAUCACAUCUCAAUAACCUAAUGUCAUGACAUUUGUAUCCUAUUCUAUUCCUAAGGUUCGUACGGGACUUUCAGGUAUCUCAAAUCUGUCGAUUCUUGCUCGUAAUUACUUGUUCAACAUUCAUAACAAUUCAAUCAUAAAUAAACAUAUAUAAUUCAAUGUAAAUACAUUUAUUUGAAUAUGUACUUACCUUGUAGUCGAAAUAGAUGAAUUUGAUCGAUUACUUGAUAACUUUCGAUUUCCCUCAAUCUAAAUCUGAUUUCAUUCUUUCAGGAUCUAUAAAAAUUCAAAAUUAACUCUUUUAUUCCUAAAUUCAUUCAAAUUCAUCCAAAGCACAUAAUUUGGGGCAUUUUACACAUUAACCCCUAUAAUUUCACAUUUCUUACAAUUUAGUCCUUAUUUCACAAAAUCACAAAUUACAAAAUUUCUUUCUAAUUUCAUGCUAGCCGAAUUUCAUAUAGCUUCAUAUCAUCCCAUAUUUUCAUUUAUUUCACACUUUUGACCACACAUUUUACACUUUUCACAAAUUAGUCCUUUUUAAGCAAUUUCACUAAAAAUAACUUUACAAAACAUGAUAAUCUAUAAACAAUUACUCAUUUUCCAUCAUCAAACAUUUAAGAAAUCAAACAUUCAUGAAUGGAAAUUUACAAAAUCACCAAAAAAUUCAGAAAUUAGCGUACGGGCUAGCUAGUACUCAAAGCAACGAUAAAAAAAAUGUAAAAAUCAUCAAAAACUAAGCAAAAAACAUACCUCAAUCAAGAUGAACUAUGGAAGAAACCUUAAAGGUCCCAAAACUCUUAUUUUCUUUUGUUUUUUGGUUGGAAUGAAAAAUAUGAACAAAAUUUUAACUUUGUUUUUAUUAAAUUAUGCUUUAUUUAACUAAUUACCAAAAUGUCCUUAUUUAAUAUCAUUUAAAAUCACAUGAUGGAUGGCUAUUCAUGUCAAUAUCCACUAUCAAUGGUCUAAUUACAACAUAAGGACCUUUCAUUUAAUAAGCCAUAGCAAUUAGACACCUUUAUCAAUUAGAUUGCAACUUUUUCAUUUUACGCGAUUAAGUCAUUUUUCUCAAAUUGAGCUAUUAAACGAUAAAAUUAACACAUGAAACUUUCACACAUACUUAUUCACACGCUGUAAACACAUAAAAUAAUAUUAAAAUAAUUUUAUGACCUCGUAUUUGUGGUUCUAAAGCCAUUGUUCCGAUUUAAGCUAAAACUGGGCUGUUACAACACUCCCCACCAUGAGACUUCCCACAGUGAGCAUAAUUGCGACUCUGAUUUCUAUUACUUGCAAUAGCAGGGUACUGACGUGGUCUAUCUUCACGGACCCUCUUCACUGGGCAUGGAUUAGAAUUUCUCAGACUAGAAUCUCUCUUCACUAGAGUCUUGGUCUUAUCUCUUGUAUCUUGCUUAGCCUCUUUCACCUUUUCAAGGAUCUUCACCUUCUCUACUAAAGUUUCGAAGACUCUCUCCUGCAACAUGAAAAAUUGGGCCUUGAGAUCAUACCUCAGCCCAUUCUCAAAUCUAACAUGCUUUUCCUACUCUGAAGCUUCCAUCCCUUGUGCAUACCGGUUCAAUCUCAAGAACUUAGCCUCAUACUCGGAUAUGGUUCGGUCUCUUUGCUUUAAUUUAAUAAAAUCAAGUUUCCGAGCUUCAACAUACCUCGAGCUCACAUAUUUCUUAUAAAAGGCAGUUUGGACAUAAUCCCAAGUUAUCUUCUUUUGUUGGUUACCUUCCAUGAUAGAUUGCCACCAACAAUAUGCCUCAUCUCUCAAAAGAGACACUGUACACUAAAGUUUAUGUUUUAGGGUACAGUAAAAAUGAUCUAAGAUCCUCUCAAUAGAUGCCAUCUAGUACUCAGGUACCGUAAGGGUUGUCCCAGAAACUCCUCUAAAUACUUCAGCUUUAUUCAACUGAAGCCUCUCAGUAAUAGACUUACGACUUUUAGUUCCUAAUUGGCCUCUAACAACCUGCUAUAAAAUCCUCAAUAGUGUUUGGGAAAUUGUACCAUCUAUAGAUUCAUGAUUUUCCUCCUCAUUAACAAAUUCCUCAGGCACAUUACUCACAAUUUCCAUAACAGGAUCAUCCUCGUUGACACUGAGGUUCGGUGUAGGCAAUCGAGCAGUGAAUGACUCUUUUUAGCCAUACAGUGAUGUGCACCACGAGUUCUAACCCUUUGAUUAUUCAUAGUACUUAAAAUUUAUGAAUUAUCUAACAAUUACAAAUGGAAAUUCUACAUUAUCACUUGAAUUUUUUUUAUCAGAGUCUUUACUAUUGAAAAAAAUACUAUCUAAAAUAUCAUAAUCUAAAGUAAGGAGACUUAUCUUGAUCAGCUUCGGAAGUCCCAAAUUUUUAAUUUUUUGGGGUUUAAAAAUCUUAAAUUCAAUAGAAAGAAAGGUUUUCCAAAAAUUCCUUUAAAAUAUUCGUGCAAACCCAUUAAAAUACACAAUUUGAGUUUUGGAUCGGGCUUUGAUAGCAUUAAACGGAACUCCUAAAACCUCACCUAGACGUUAUGGUUGAAUCUUAAAAAUUAUGUUAAACGAUGUACAAAAUUAUUUGUUUACUUGAAAAUAAAGGUUUUGAGUUUGAAACGUAAAAUUUCUAAGAUUGACUAAUUUUAUUUCUUUGAAAAAUAUUUAAUAAAAUUAUUUAUUUUUAAAAGAAAACGUCACUUAAUUGUAAUGUUGUUCACCUAAGACUAUUUAUGAAUUUAGUAAGAAAAAUUGGAUUUUUCAACCUAACGACAAACUCAACUCAACAAUCGUUAUUUCAUACUCAAGACUUUGUUUUUGAAACUUAACACUAUUUUCUCAUUUAACUGAUAUGUUACAAGAUAUGUCAAAAUUACAAUUUCAAAUCAACGAGUGAGAUGUAGCUAAAAUAUUUUUCGCUGUGACUGUUUUGAAACAUGAUGUUUUCUGGAAACCUUCGAAAACUAGAGUUUUCUAAAGAUAAUCGAUUUUGAAAAAUUCUCUCAAAAAGAAAACUUGCAGGUAUUGCUCAGUUUUUCUCAAGAAAAUUAAAAUGAUGAUUUUUUAGUAACAACAUUAUUCGACAGAAAUAGUUAAAUGAUUUUUCAUGCGAUUACCAUGGCCAAUGUGAUCUUCGAGAUUCGGCCAUAACGUCUAGGUCGGGUUUAGAGUGUUACAGUUUCUUAUAGGAUCAAACUCUUGAAUUAUGAUUAAAGAAUAGAAAAAAGAAGGAUAACAAAUAAAGUGAUAAAAGGGAUAUAACUUUCAAACUUGAAACAAACUUAGAAAUUAACCUACGUUAUAUAACAACGAGACUUAAUUUUUAUACAGUUGUUGAAAACUUAAAAAGUUUGGGAAACGAAGAAGAAUUGUGACCCACUAUCUAUACAGAGAUAGGAACCAAUGGUAUAGGGGUGAUCGCCACACUUCGAAAAUAGGUGAGAGGGGAAGUGAUAAGAUUGAAGGUAGUAAACGCCACAAGAAAACAAUUCUUGAUAAGUUCAUUUUUUAAGUUGUUAAAGAACAAAAAAGAUUUAACUCAAAUAUAUAAAAUGUUCAUUAGCCUUGGAAUGUCUACAAUCAAAACUAUUUAUAGGAAAACUACUAAGUUAGAUGAAUGGAAAAAUUUUGGCCAAUAAUAAUUACAUGCAUCAAACCCAUUAAUGAACCAAAGGAGUUCAUGUAUUUCUUCAUACAUUAAAUGAAUAAAAAGGCUUAUGCUUCCCUCCUUAACGUGCAUGCAUCUAAUUGUUCAAUGUAUAUGUAUAUGUGAAUGGUCACAUUCUCUUCCCCCUUGCCGUCCAUGCAUCUACUAGUUUUCAUUCAUGCAUUUACAAGGUUCAACGUAUGCUACAUAAGUCGCAUACAUUCCCCUUAAUCAUACAUGCAUCUUGGUAUUCAUUGAAUCGGCCAAUAUUAAAAAAAAAGUCCCCCAUUGAUGACGCAUGUCUAUGGAGUUUCUUCCCUUUUUGCCAAUGUAUCUUUUUAGUUCAAUGUGUUGCAUUUAAUCUAUUCAUCCUCCCUUGGUCGUACGUGAAUUUAGAGAAGGUGGUGAAAAUCCACAAGGUACAUGUGUGGUAUAAAUAUAGCUAGCUAAUGUACCUAAAUCACAUAUAAAUAGCAACAUAAGAUCAUUUCAACACAAGAAAAAAUACAGGACAUGACAUAAACAUAGAUUAUCACAUAUCUUAACAUACAAAAUAAGAACAAUAGACACAUGAAAAAUGAACAAAAGACAUAAACACUUAAGCUCAAAACACGCAUAAGCAUUAUUAAAACAUAAAAAUAUAAGACACAAAAAAAAUAAAACAUCCAUAAUAGAAAUUAAGUCAGAAACUGAAGUUCUACUACUAAGUGGCUGAAAAAUAUGGCCGGAAUAACCACUUCAAAGAGGUUGCAUUUUAGCUUGUAUUUGGGCUCCUCACGUUUGGACCAAUCUUCAUGUUUGGACCCAACUUGCAUUAUGGGUGUAAAAACCCAAUUUAGCCCUUUAAUUUGUGGCCCAAUAAAGAAGCAAAAUUGAGUCUUAGCCCAAUCAAAGGCCCACGUGGUUAGGCUUACAUCAAAUAGGAAAGAAUAAUCAUAAAGCAUGUACAAAACAUAAGUUAAAUAGAAAUAUAGGCAUAGGUACUGAACUAUGUACAAGGUUUGCCAUACUUGUGCGAAGCCUGGUUCACAAAAACUUAAUGUCAGCUAACUUAAGAAAAACUUAUGUUUUCAGAAACAUAAUCUUAUUCAAUUGUUUGUUCCGUUUGGAUAAGUGAAUCUCAUUAUAAUGCCUUAGAAUGACUCAACGAGUCCUUAUCAUAAGUGCAGAACAAUGCUAAAUACUCCAACAUGUCUUAUUGAAUGGAGCUUAGCUCGAUAUUCCCUUAUCUUUCUAUCCUGUCCCAGGGCUCAAUGCCCAAAACAUAAAACAUAAAGGUGAGUACUCACCAUCCUAUGGCAUGCCAUUAUAUCCAACUGUAACAACUUGUUUUUGGUUAAAUUAGAAUAGUGGUUUCAGGACCAAAAAUUUGAAGUUGAAAUAAUUAUUUUAUUAUUUUAAUCUUUACAGCAUGAUAGUGUGUUUGUGUGGAAGUUUCGUUUAGAAAUUUUAUCGUUUGAGUGUUUAAUUCGAUAAAAAGGACUAAAUUGCGUAAAGUGCAAAACUUUAGUUCUAUUAAUAAAGGUAUCUAAUAGCUAUGGUUUAUUAAAUUGAAGGUCCUUAAGUGGUAAAUAGACCAUUGUUUAAUUGAAUGGACAUUUAUGUGCAUGGUUAGAUGAAUUUUAAAGGUUAAUAUUCAAGGUUAAUAUAGUAAAUUGGUAAAUAUAUGUUAGUAAAAUAAUAAAGAAACAAAUGGUCAUCUUCCUAAGUGUUUAACCAUCGAAAAUUAACCUUAAAAACUCCAUGGAAAGGGUUUGAAGCAUUCUGCCAUAGCUAUCCAUGCAUGUAAGUGUUUUAUUGCUUGAUUUUUAAUGUUUUCUAUGUUUUUGAUAUCGUUGCAGCUUAGUCUAGCUAGCCCAGGGACUAUUCUGCAAAAUUGUUAAAGGUUUAGGAUGUUUCCAUUGACGAAUGAGCAUGUAUUUUAGUGAUUGAUGAUAGAUUAUGAAUGUUUGAUGAUAGUUACACAGGUUUUGUUAAGUGAUUUUUGGUGAAAAUGUAAAUUAGGGAUUAAAUUGAGAAAUGUGGAAAGUUUGUGGGUAAAUUUUAAAAUAAAUAAAAAUUAUGGGCUGAUAUGUGUACUAGAAAAAUUCGGCUAGCAUGGGUUGGUAUCAAAUUGCAUUAAUUUGUGAUUUUAUGAAAUAAGGACUAAAUUGUAAAAGUUGUGAAAUACUUGGGGAAAAAGUGAAAAUGUGCUCUAAUGAGUGUUUUUGGAUUAAAUUGAAUAGAGCUAUAAUUAAAUAAGCUAAAUUUGAUUACAUAUAGAUCAAGAAAAGUGAAAUUCGGAUUUAGAUUGGGGAAAGACAAAGUACUCGACUAAUCGACCUAUUUCAUCGUUUUUGUGAACUGAGGUAAGUUUGUAUGAUUAAUAAGCUUAAUGUUAUAUGUGUUUAUAUGCUUAGAUAUUAUAAUUGUGAUAUUACGACACUAUGGAAUCUAUCGACAAAGCAUUGACACAGUGAGAAUCCUGGUUGAACCUAAGGAAUAAAUAGGACACUAGUGACAUGUCAUUAGGGAUUAUUAUGAUUAUGUGAUCUGGGUACUGGUCCUGUACAUCCUACCGGUGGCUGAGUAUACCAUCAUGGGUUACGGUAACUUGACAGCUUGUGCAAGCAAAAUUGUGUAGCUACAUCUUGACUAACAGCUUGUAUGAGUAGGCCCGUUGAUAGGUCGAGAGUGAGCAAAUAUGUGAUAUGAGAUUGAUAUAGUAUUGGCUAUGUAUGUGGCACUUUGGUGUGAGAUUGCUGAGUAUCUGAUAUUAUUCUGAAUGGUUCAACGGGAAAAGAUGAUAGUACGAGAAUGUAAGCAAUGAUACGGAUCAUUUCAGGUACUCGUGAAAAGUUUGGCAAGCAAGUGAUAAUUGAUAAGUUUAUUCGAAAUGUAAGUGAAAUUUGAUGAAUUUAUACGUGAUACAUAGAAUUAUGGCAAUGUGUAAAUUUUUGAUUUGAAUGAAAUACUUAUGUUACUCAUGUUCUUUAAAUGGUGAAUAAAUAGGCAAAUUAUACUUAUUAAUCAUAUGAGCUUACUAAGCUAUAAAGCUUACUCUGUUUAUUUUUUCGUGUUUUAUAGUGAUUUCAAAGCUAGCUCAGAUUCGGGGAUUGUUGGAGACCUUAUCACACUAUCAAACUAUCAUUUUGGUACUUUUGAAUCUAUUUUUUUGGAAUAUAUUGCAUGUAUAGGAACUUUGGUCACUCUGGUUUAUGAGUUGAUGAUGAAUUUAGCAAUUAGAAUUGGCUUGUAAAUGUCUAAAUUUUGGUCUUGUAUAUAGCCAUGAAAGUUGGCUUAUUUGGUUGGUUUGGUUAUGUAUAUAUAUUUAUGUGUGCAUAUGGCUUAUGUUUUGUGAUUGAGGUUGGCUUUGUGAUGCUUAUUGUUAGUAGGUAUUGUGGUUGUCAAAUGGUUGAUAUUAGAGAAAAUAUAUGCUUGUAAAUUUAAGCAUAAUGAUGCAUGUUUGGAAAUGUUUACUUAGUUGAAUUGUAUAUGUGAAUUAGGUAUAAUGUAAUGACCCAUUUUAUGACUUGUGUAGAUUGUGGAUAACUGAAUUGAGUUGGCAUGAUUUAGGCUUUAUUUAGUUGGUUUGAAUGCCUAUAUAUGCUAAGUUUUGGUGUCAUUUGGUUUGGUGUAGGUGCAUACAAAUUUGGGUAGCAAAAUGGCUUGGUAAAUAGCCUAUUUUUGUCCACACGGGCAAAGACAUGGGCAUGUGUCUCAGUCGUGUAUGAUACACGGUCAGGUUGCACGGCCUUGUGUCCCUUGGUGUUGAAUUAAAAACCAAGUCAGUAUGCUCCACACGGCCUAGCACACAGUGUGUGAUUGGCCGUGUGGCUUAAGUCAGUAUACCCUACAGAUUGGAACGACCUAGCACACGGCCUAGCACACGGGCAUAUGUGGCCAUUUUUUUGGGCAUAUGGGCUAGUCACACGGGUGUGUGUGUUGGCUGUGUGACCCAAGUUAGAGAGUUACACAGGGUCGGACACAGGCUAGGACACGGCCAUGUGCUCCAAUUUCAAAUGUCCACAUGGCCUGUGACACUGGCGUGUCUUUGGCCGUGUGAGACACACGGCCGGGCCACACGGUAUGUGUCCCCUAUUUUUGGAAAUUUUUUUUAAGUGUUUGAGAAGUUUCUAAAGUUAUCGGUUUAGUCCUGAACCACUCUGAAUGCAUAUUUUGGGCCUCAUAGGCUCGUAUUAGGGACGAUAUGAAUGUUGUUGAUUGAUGACUAUAUGAAAUUUGAAAAUGUAUGUAAAAUGUAUGUGUGAUUGUAUGAUAUGUUCAGUAAUGCUCCGUAACCCUAUUUUAAUUGUAUGAUAUGUCCGGUAAUGCUCCGUAACCCUAUUUUGGCAUUGAAUACGGGUGAAGGGUGUUACACCUACAGAUUCAGAAGGUUACCUUGUCAAAUCAUUUACUUAACAUAGAGUUUGCAAAGCACGAAGUCAUAUGGAGCUCACCAUAUAGAGCUAACAUAUCACUGUUCAUAAAAAUACAUAUUUGAAUACAUUCAUCAAACAAAGUUAUAGAAAAGACUUACUCUCAAAAAUUAGGUCAAAACCCUAAGCUCCUAAUUAACAUUAUGAUCCACAAUACAAGUGGCGAUGCUUGAACACUCACCAAUUUGCUGAGAACUUAGGGAAGCUUAGCUUUUCCCUUAUCUCUACUUGUAGACAGUUUUGUUUGGGUUCGCAAUUGUAACAUCCUGAAGUAGAGCUGAGAAUUAUUAAGCCAGAUGAGCUGGGUUCGCCAAGGAGUUUGGCAAACAGGAAAUUGCCCAAGAGUGUGACGAAUAGGUACUCGUCAAUAAGAUCAUUGAAUAAGGGUUUGCCAGAGGAAAUGAUAAGCAUGUAUACGACAUUAGAUUUGCGAAUAGGUGUGUAAGAACCCAUUUUUCAGUGGUUUUUGACGAGUAAGGUUGUAAAAUUAGUAUUUAAAUUAUACGAGUCAAUAAUAAUUUUUAUAUUGAAUUUUUAUUUAUUGAAUUUUAAUCAGUUGAAUUAAUUGUUAGUAUAAGGGGUUCAGUCCAAAAUCAAGUGGUUUUUGAAAAUGAGGUAUUGGGACCCAUGUCCGUAACUUAAACUUGUAAAUAUUUUUAUUAAAUGUUUAUAGAGUCGUAUUAUAGGGGAAUUGAGGUUUGGUCCAAUAAUUUUGACAAUUGGUUCUUAAUUAAGGUAAAAGGAUUAAAUUGUAAAAUGGUAAAAGUUAAUCGCUAUAGAUUUAAAUUAGUAAAGAGACCAAAAUCAUGAUUAAACCAUGAUAAAAAAAGUCCAAGAAGUGGUGGAUAUGAUUAAUCCACUAGCUUUUAGGCUAUUUGCUCGUUUAGUCCUAAGUAGUUUAGGGUUAAAUUGAAAUUAAGCUUGUUUAGUUAAAAUUGUAAAAUAAUUGAAGGACCAAUUAUGCAGUUAAACCCCUUUAGAUGGUAAUUAUACCAUAUUCUCAUUUGAUGGACAAAUAUGGACAUGUUUUAUUUAUUUUUAUAAGUCAUAAUGUAAAGGUUAAAAUUGUAAAUUAAGUAAAUAAAAGGUUAAAUUAAAAGAAUACUAAAUUAGGUUAUCAUCUUCCAUUCUUUUCUUAUGGAAAAAAAAUGGCCAUUUUUAUGGGAGAAGAAAGUUUUGGUCAAGCUAGGGUUAUGGUAUGUAAGUGAUCCUUUAUCUUGUUUUUAGUAAUUUUAUGUUUUUGAGCUCGUAUUAGCUUGAUUUAGCUAACCUGGAGAAUAAUUUGUAAAACUGUUAAAUGUUAUAGAUAUUCCAUUGAUGAGUUUGAGUUGUUCUUGAAGUUUUAUGGUAGAUUAUUAAGCUUGGUUGUUAAAUAGGAUUAUUUUGUAAAGUAGUUUUUAGUAAUUUUAAUGUUUAAGGACUAAAAUGUUACAGUGAUAAAAUUACAAGGAAUUGAUGUGAAAUAACAGAAAAUAUGUGUUGUCGUAGAGUGCUAUACAAUUCAACUGAACUUAGUUUUAGUUAAAAUUGGUUAAAUUGCAAGUUUUGAGCUUAGCGACUAAAUUGCAUAAAAGUAAAAUGUUGGGGGUGAUUUUGUAAAAUUGUCUAAGAAGGCUUAAUUACAUAAAAUGAGUUAAUUUCACUAUUGGAAUUAGUUAAUUGAUUGAAAUUAUUUAUCUAGAUCAAGAAUGGGUUGAAAAUCGAGGCAUAGAAAAGUUGAAUAGUCUUUGUACCUUUGUCAUCGUUGUAGUUUAGUCUGGUAAGUUCGUUUGGUUCGAUUUUAAUACAUUUUAAAUGUAUAUUAUAUGAACUUAAUUGUACAAUGAUGGAUAAUACUUAUGCAUGUAUUUGGGAAUGAAAGUAAUGAAUUGAUACGGUAUCGAUCACUGAUUGGAAUAUUCUGAGCCGAUGAAUAUAGGAUAGAGUAAGAUUGGCAUGCCAAUAGGUUGUUUUGCGUAUUGGACGAGAUUGGUAUGAGAUGUGAUGGUGAUUUUUGUAUAUCCUCUAUUCAUUGAAUAUACUGAGGUCCUGCAUACGUUGUAGAUUAUCUUGUUUUAUUAGAAUGUUUUUCUAGUGUGUUAUAGGGGCAGAUGUUAGCCUACGGGCUAGACACUUAGUGCCGAGGUGUAUUAUUGAUUGGAUUGGCUCGUAUGAGUGUCUGGUGUGUUCUGGAUGGUUAAACGUGUACUCCUAUCCAUAUAACAUUCACCGAGCAAUGUUUUAUUGAUCAUUGAGUGUUAUUUAAAUGUGAAAUUGAUUUGUAUUAUUGUUUGAACAUUACUCACUUGUUUUGAGUUAUGAUUGACAGGAACUCUAUUAGUAACCUUGUUAUUUGAAUUAUUAUUUUAAUUCAAUAAACUUUAUUAUUUAAUCUAUGAACUUACUAAGCUUUAUGUAAGCUUACUCCUGUCCUUGUCUUUUUCUUUGUAGAUUAUAUUUUUUUUUGAAAAUCAGGAGAUCGAAUCAACUCGAAGAAUCACACUAUUCGAGAACCUUUUGGUAUACUUUGAGUGUGACCUUGGCUUAUAGGCAUGUAAUAGGCUAAUGGUGGAUGUUUUGUGAUAGUCUUAAGCAUAUAUGUGGUAGCUUGAUGUACUUGUAAUAUUGUUGUGUCAAGUAGCUAUUUGCGGCAUGUAUGCUUAAUUCUAGUGAAGGCAUGAGUGGUUGAUGCUAAUCAAGCAUGAAUUGGUAAGUUAUUUUAUUUGAUGUGGUAUGCAUGGAUGGCUUGAAAUUUUACCUUGAUAAUUUUUUAUUAUGUGAUUGAAAUAUUGUGUCAAUGGUGGCACAUUGGUUAGACACAUAGGAUGGUCGAUUAACUUGAUUUGAGUGGUUUAAAAUGCAUUCCAAAUUCUUAUGAACAUGUGUGUAAGUGUAUAAUUAGGCACCUAAGCAAUUGGAUGUGAAAUGGGCAAGUUUUGGGUUAUUUUUGGCACACAUGGGUUAGGAUACGGGCUAUCACACUGUCGUGUGUAACACACGAGUGUAUGCCCCAAACGUGUUAGGUGUAGGGUUCACACAAGCUGACACAUGACCUGCGACACGGCUGUGUAACCCAAGUCAAUGAGUUACAUGGGUGGACACAUGAGUGAGCACACGGGCAUGUGGGAUAGCCAGAUGGCCCUGGUUGGAGCCACACAAUCUGGGCUAUAACAGCCCAUUUUUCUGUAAAAUCGUAACAGUGGUUUUGAGACCACAAAUCUGAUCCGAAAAUAAAGUUGAUUUUUAUUUUAUAAUAUGGUCUGUUUUAUGAUAGACAUGUUGUGUGAAAAUUUUGAUUCGAAAAUUUUAUCGAUUAAGUGUUUAAUUACGAGGACUAAAUCGCAUAAAUGAAAAAGUUGAAUUCUAGUAGCUGUAAGGAUUAAAUAGCUAUGGAAUUCAAAACUAGAGGUCCUUAUAUGGUAAUUAGACCAUUGAAGAAAACUAUGUUGUUUUUUGGUGUCUCAUCCAUGGAAAAAUUAGAAAAGAAUAGGGACUAAAUUGGAAAUUAAAAUAUUUAAUUAAUUAAAAAGAUGAUAAAAGAUACCAUCUUAUUAUUUUUGUCAUCUUCAACCCCAAAAUUAUAUGGAAACCCUAGGAGAGAGAGAAGAAACUUUCAAGGCUUAAUUGGGUAAGUUUCAUUGUCCCGUUUUUAGUAAUUUUGAUAUUUUUGAAACCGGAAUAGCUUAAACUAUCUAUUUUGGGGGAUUAAUUUAAAAAGUUAUCAAAGUAAGGAAAAUGGGUCAUGGAUGUAUAUGCUGAAAAUUAGAAAUUUAAGGUAGAAAAUGAAAGGUUGUUGAUAAAUCAACAACUUUUACAAAGUGAUUUUUGAUGAAAACAUGAUUUAGGGACUAAAAUGUAAACUUGUGAAAUUGAAAAAAAAUGUUGAAUUUUUAUGAAUACAUGUGCUGUAAAUUUUUUUAUGGGAUUUUUGGUUAGGCUUGGAAUAGGGAGUAAAUUGCAUAAGUUUCAUUUUCCGAGCCUAGGGAUGAAAUUAGAAUUUAUGGAAAAGUUAGGGGCAAAAUGGUAAUUUUUCCUAGGGCGUAAAUUGAGUUCAAAUAAUUAUGAAAUAUGAGAAAUUGAUGAUUGAAGCUAUUUAUAUAGAUCUGGACAACACAAAUUCAAGGUUAGACCGAGGAAAAGAAAAUGUUUCGAAUUAGUAGAUUUUAUAUGCGAACAAGUGUUAAUUGAAUGUUAUGCUUGUAUGUAAUGUGACUUACAUUGAAAUGCAUUACUUGAAUGCUAUAAUGGACAAUCUAAUGCAUGCUUGAAAUGGUGAAAAAGGGGUUAAGUCCCGAUUAAAUAUUGAAUUUCGAUGAAUAUAUAUGCUUCUCGAAAUGGAUGAGGUCCUGCAUUUGUUGCGGACGGGAUUUAACUCGGACGAGUAUUCCUAUUGACCUCAUUAUAGAAAUGAUUUAGCUCGGACGAGUAAUCCUGAUAUAAUACUUCUCGACUAUACAUUAUGAUUUGGGUUUAGCCUGGACUGGUAAUUCUAAUUUAGCUCUUCUAAGCAUACGUUAUAUAAAGGAUUUAGCCUGGACUGGUAAUCCUAUUAUACGAUAUGUAGCUCGAGAGUGUGUUCCUUAAUUAAAUGCCCUAAUGGGUACUCUUGAAUAUGAAUUGAUGAAUUAUUAAAUCGUAUACUUUGGGUGUACUACUUGAACAUCCAUCGGAAUUUCAAUGAUUCAAUGGACACGACUCUUGACAUGGUAUGAGAAUUUUUGAGAUGAAAUGAUAAUGACUUGAAAGAAUAUUGCAUGAUGAGCUCAUCUAUGUUUACUUGAUUGAUAUGAAGAUUUUGGUGACUAACAUAUUUGAUUGAAUGCAUGUGGUUAGGCAAUUUUGCUAAUGGAUGGAAAAACAUGAUAUUGUAUGCUUAGGUUUAAUAAACAGGAUUGGUAAGUUUAGUUUCCGUUAUACGAACUUACUAAGCAUGUAAUGCUUACUCCAUUUUAUUUUUCCCUAUUUUAUAGUACUCGAAAGCUCGCGAAGGUUGGAGAUCAUUGGAGCAUCAUCACACUAUCCACUAGCUUAUUUUGGGUUUACAUAUAGUAGAAUCAUUUUGGUAUAAUGGCAUGUAUAGGACAACUUGACCAUUAGUGGCUUGAAAAUGAUGUUUUUAAUCUAGCCAUUGGAAUGGCUAGUAAUUGUUGUUUUGAUAUACUUGUAAUGUCAUGCAAUGGUAGCUAAAUAUAUGUUAAGUGGUUGUUCAAAUUAUGCCUAACAUAUGGAAUAUACCGAUGUAAGAUUAUAAACAUAUAUGCAUGUAAUGAUAUGCCUUGUUGAAUGGUGGAAUUUUCUUAAUUUGAAUAUUUGAAUUGGUUGGUAUUUGGAUGUGUGUUUUAGUGCAGGAAAAUAGUAAAAUUGGGUGACAAAUGAGGCUAGGAAAUGGAUUUAUUUUGUCCACAUGGGCAGAUACAUAGGCGUGUGUCUAGACCGUGUGUGACACAUGGCUUGGUAACAUGGGCGUGUAGUUAGGCCUUGUGUCCCUUGCACCUUAAUUUUGAGAAACAAAAUGCUCAGAAUUGAGCACACGGGCAAAGACACGGACGUGUGUCUCAGUCGUGUGUGCUACACGGCCUAGAACACGAGUGUGUGUCUUGGCCGUGUGAAACCUGCACCUAAUUUCAAAUUAAAUUAAUUAACCACAUGGCCUAGCACAAGGGCGUAUGGCAUGGACGUGUGUACAAGUCAGAGAGUUACAUGGGGUCGAACACGGCCUAUAGUACGGGCGUGUCCCAGGGUCACACGGGCGUCUUCCUUGGACCACACGGGUGUGUGAGCCCUGCAACUUGGAAAAUUGUUGUAAUUUCACGAAAAAUUCUUAGAGCUCCUGAUUAAGUCCCAACUCGAUUCUAAUGCUUAUAUUGGGCCUCGAGGGUCUAAUUAAGGAACGUUUUGUAUGAUCUCAGUUAAUAAAUAGUAAUUUACAUAAAUUAUUGUAAAAUGUUCUGAAUGUUUUGGUAAUACUUUAAAACCCUAUUCCGAUGACGGAUACAGGUUAGGGGUGUUACAUGGGCUCUAUCACCCAACUGUGUGACUCCUAUUUUCAAACUUUUCAUAUUUGCCCCAAAUCUUUUGAUUUGUAUCAAAUUGGUCCCUAAUUGUUCCAAAACUAUUUUUGAGGCCUUAUAGCUUGGAUUUAAGGCCCAUAAAUGUUUGUUUCACUUUAAUUUAAAUGUAAUGAAAAUUUGAUAAUUAAAUUGUAAAAUUGAUACUUUGUGAUACUGAAUGUUCUGAAUUGUACACUAAUACUCUGUAACCUUAAUCCAAUGACAAAGACGGGUUAGGAGUGUGAUAAGGUGUAUGACCAGCAAGUUCGAUGAGCUAAAGUAUGCUAAUAAGCUUGGCUAGUAGGAGUUUUCUAGAAGGCUGAGUGAGCUGGAGUAUGCUAAAGAAUUUAAGGAACUUAGAUUGCUAGUAGGCUUGGCAAAACGGGGAUCACCAGUGGGUCAGUGAACUACAAUUUUUGGCUAUGAGUCAUAAGUAAGAAAAGUCAAAGUAGAGUCAUGCCUCGGUUAGGAAAGUUAGCUUGCUUUUCUCUUUGCAACACUAUCCAUGCAUGUAAUUAAAUUUUACUUCUAUUACGAUUAGAGUAUCAUAAGGACAUUAGGACACGUAGAGCCUAUAAUGUCCUUUCCAAUAAGGGAAUUUCAUUUGCUAUUCUCCUAAAUUUACUAUCAAUCAUUCUAUCGGUAAGUCCUAAGAUCCCAGCACUUAGAAAUCAAGAACCAUCAACAAGAAAAGUCAAGGGAAUAACAAAGCUUGUGAAUAAAGCCAAAAUACACUUCGCACUUAAGGGGGGUAACCUUGUGAACUGGUGAAGGGAUGAAAAUUAUUAUGGUUGGUGAGCAAACUCAAUUCUUGUCCAAUAUGGUCUUGGCAAUUAGGGUAGAGAAGUUGAUAAGGAAAGUCUGCGAAGCCUACCUUGCUUAUGUGGUGGGUUCACCAAGUAAACCGAUAGGAGUUUUCAACAUUCGCACGGUGAAAGACAAUCCUGAUGUAUUUCCAGAAGAGCAACUUGGAAUACCCCCAGGCUGCAAAAUGGAAUCCUCCAUUGAGUUAUACCUAGAUAGUUCGCCAAUGUCCAUUACACCUUAUCGAAUGGCACCAAAAGAGAUUAAAGAAAUGAAAAUCAAACUAUAAGAGUUGCUCGAUAGGGGUUUCAUUUGACCAAGUGUGUCGCCGUGGGGAUCACCAGUAUUGUUUGUAAAGAAGAAAAAUGAGAACUUCAGAAUCUGUAUUGACUAUAGAUUGUUGAAUAAAUUGACUACUUGUUCAAUUAGCUGCAAGGUGCCACGGUAUUUCCAAAGAUAGUCUUAGAAUCAUGGUACUACUAGCUUAAGGUUAAGGAAGCAAAUGUUUAGAAGAUAGCUUUUUACACAAGGUAUGGGCAUUAGGAAUUCCUAGUUAUGCUCUUUAAAUUGAAAAAUGCACCUACUGCAUUCAUGGACUUAAUGAAUUGAGUGUUCCACAUGUAUUUGGACUAGUGUGUCAUGGUUUUCAUAGACGAUAUCCUGACGUACUUGCAAAUCGAUGAAGAACAUGAUGUUCACUUGCAAACUGUGUUACAAAUUUUACGUGAGAAGAAACUAUUUGUGAAGUUCAACAAAUGUGUAUUUUGGUUAAAGGAAGUAGCCUUUUUGGGUCUUGUGGUCUCAGUAGAGGGAGUUUGUGUUGACCCAAAGAAGAUUGAGGAAAUUCUAGAGUGGAGAUCUCUAAGAAGCGUCACAAAGGUACAAAGCCUUUUGGGGCUCGCAGGUAACUAUAACAAAUUUGUUGAUAGAUUCACCACUACCGUGACACCCUUUACAAAGUUAUCACAAAAAAUAUGAGGAGUUCGCAUGGAUGGAAGAAAGAAGAAAAAGCUUCGAAAGACUUAAGGUGAUACUCACUAAAGCACAUGAGUUGGUUCAACCAGAACUUGGGAAAGACAUUUUAGUCUAUAGUGACGCAUCACACUUGGGUUUUGGUUGCGUGUUGGUGGAGGAAGGAAGGGUCGUUACUUAUGACCAAACAGUUGAAGCCUCAUGAACGAAACUACCCAAUGCAUGAUCUGGAGUUAGAAGUAGUGAUGUUCAUACUAAAGAUUUGGUGACACUACUUGUAUGGCGAAUAGUGUACUAUCUAUACUGACCAUAAGAUCCUUAAGUACUUACUUACAUAGAAAGAACUAAACUUAAGACAAAGGAGGUAGAUAGAGCUACUAAAAGACUAAGAUCGCGUGAUAAAAUAUUUCCCAGAAAAUGUGAACGCGGUAGUAGAUGCAUUAAUUAGAAAAUUAGUGAGUGAACUGCGAGCUCUGUUUGUUCGUUUGAGUGUGACAUAUAAUGCGUGACUGCUUGUAGAAUUAUAGGUGAAACCAACCCUUUUUGCAGUAAAUAAAGGAAAAGCCACCCUCAUAUGAGGAUUUAGUGAAGAGGGUUCGCUAAGUGGAACAAAGAGUUCAGCGGGACUUCGCACUGAAUAAAGAAGGGAUACUUUAUUUCCUAAAAAGAUUGUACGUGCCCUGUGAUGAAGAACUUCGAUAUGCGAUCCUUAUAGAAGCUCACAAAUGCCUUUACGCGUUGCAGCCAUAGAGCAAUAAGAUAUUCCAUGACCUUUGUGAAUUGUAUUGGUGGCCUAGCUUGAAGCGAGUUAUUACGAACUAUGUGGAAAAGUGUUUUAUUUUUCAAAUGGUGAAGGCUGGGCAUCAGUAUCUUUCAGGAUUACUACAACCAAUCAAAAUUCAAGAGUGGAAAUGGCAAAGGAUCACCAUGGUCUUUAUGUCAAGCUUGUGACUAACCUCGACAAAAAAAGAUGCAAUAUGGGUGAUUGUGGAUCACCUCACUAAAAUUUUGCACUUCUUUGAAGUCCACACCACUUAUACUCUACAAAAUCUGGUGGAGUUAUACAUCACAAAAAUAGUACGACUUUAUGGUCUGCUCGUUUUCAUUAUUGCCGAUCAAGAUCCACGAUUCAUAUUGAGAUUUUGGAAAAUUUUACAAGAACCCUUGGGUUCGAAAUUGAAUUUCUGUACAGCUUAUCAUCCAUAGAUAGAUGAUCAAUAAGAGAGGGUGAUCUAAGUACUAGAAGACAUGCAACGAAGCCAUGUGGUGGAAUUUGCAAGAAGUUGGGAAUGAUAUCCGCCUUUGGCAGAGUUCGCAUAUAACAACAGUUACUAGGUGUUGGUUGCAUAGCUGAUAUGCAAGUCGUGGAAGUGCAUACAUUGAGCAAGUAAUACAGUGAUGAGUGAUAUUGUCUCCAUGGGGAUUAGAUAGGUAUAAUUUGGUUGAGUUAUUAUAGUCAAGUUUGAUUAAUGCUAAAGCAAAAUAAGAAUAAGAAUGCAAUGGAAAAGAAUGAGAGAAUGGUGAUGUAUAAAAUGUUCAAAACAAGUAAACAGAAUAAGAAUGCCACGAAAAAAUCACUACAAAAAAGGCUUGAGGAACUACAAUGUUGAUUAGGACAGUUGGGAUUACUAAUGGAUCAACCUUAACUUCCUAUUAAUGCCAUAACAAAGUCGUGAAUAUUCUACUAUUUGAUAAGUUUCUACAGUAGUUUGCUUCUCUCGAGAGCAAGAUCUUGGGUUACCUCCCUUAGGGCACUAUGUGUUUAUAGGCUUUGAGUUCAGAUACCACUAAUAUUUCCUACCUUUUUUUGCACAAGGCAAGGCUCUAUGUCUAGAUGUUGCCAUGAAUAAGUGAUUAAUCAUUCACUCAUAUUACCCAACACUUAUCCAGGUAACCCAAACUUAUCGGUAUUAAGUUUUCUUUAUAAUCUUGUCACACAUUUGUUAAUGUACAACCUGCAUAUAACAUGAUAUGCCAUUGAAUAAAAUAGUAGAACAAAGCAAACUUAAACUUUAAACAUUAAUAGAAAUAAAGAUUUCAUCAAAGUAAUCCCAAGCCUAAGAGAUUUAGCUUAUGGUUGGUAAAAUCAAUUUUGAGUUUAAUACGAUAACCAACAUCAUCAAUAGCUGAUAUGCUUUAAAGAAAAGCAUGAUAAGAAACAAAAGAUAAAAUCUAAGAUUACAACUUUCGCCUAUCCAAAUCUCAAAAUAAGCAAUGCAAUGUCUUGCAGUUGCCCAAGAUGGUUAUAGUUGUUAUCUCUUUCUUUUGCUGCCCUUGUUCUUGGCUCCUACCUAAUAUUUACUAUUUCAUCCAAGGCUACUGUCCUAGUCUGUUUUUGGGUGCUCAAGGUUGCUCUGUUUCAUCUAAAGGCUCCCCUUAAUUAGGGUUCCCUGCUUGGCUUUUAUAAGUUUCACCUUCUAGGGUAGGUCUAUCAACGCAUGAUCCUUCCUCUAUUUGCCAAGUAGAUAUAUGUGUGGGGCCAAUAGUGGUACGCGUUAAGUGUUAGCUAGGUGUCUUUUCGGCAUUGACAUGACAUUUUUGUGGGCACUAUCCGUACUUUUCCAUGAAAAACUUUCAAACUUUGCUAUACACUCUACACUAACCAAACAAUAGCCAAACAAAUCUUUCCCACAAGCGGUUAAAAGUAACAUGUAAUCACAAUUAAGCACAAUCAAGCUCUUUAUUACAAUGUUUUAAAAGUGCCAAUGCAAUAUCUUAAAAUGGAAUUAACAACACUCAAGUACAAGUAAUUAACUAAGCCUAAGGGCAUGAAAUAUAACUCCUUUCAAGAGUUAUCACCAAGAAAUUAUCCAAAUGGCACCCUUCGAGGCAUUGUAUGGAAGGAAGUGUUGAACAUCUUUGUGUUGGGUAGAAUUAUAUGAGAAAUGAAUGGCAAGACUAGAGCUAAUUCAUGAAAUAGAAUAUAAGGUGAGAGUGAUAUGCAACAGACUGAAUGUUUUUUUAGACAGACAAAAGUCUUACACCAAUUUGAAAUGACGAGACAUAGAGUACCUGAUACGAACUUGAUGUCAUAAUGUGAUUCGAGUCGUUUGUUUGCUCGAUCGUAAAAAUUAAGUAAGACUUGAGUUGUUUUCAAAUGGGCUAGAAAAGGUUGAAAGAUAGGUUCAAAAUAAAGGGUUAAAGGAUAGUUGUGAUGAUAGAUAGGUGAAUUCAGCUAAGGCCAAGAUUGAACCAACAAUAUAGGUAAAGGUUGACCCGAAUCUUAAAUAGCACUUAGGUGAAAUUAGUUUGGAAAGCUAAAGAACCUUGACCUACUAUCUAUGAUAGAUAGGAACCAGAGGUAUAGAUGAAUGCCACACUUAAGCAAGUGAUAAGUUCAAAGAAAAGACAAGAUUGACACUACAAGACUUGUCUUGAUAAGCCAAUUCAGUCUAGAGAGAACAAUGAGAGUUGAACACACACAAGAAGUAUAAUAUUCAUAAAAUGAGCAAAAGUCCUUACAACAUAGAAUGAACAAAGUAUUUAUAGGCUGAGCUAGCUCCAGCCAAAUGGACAACUUCUAUUCAGCUCAAUUAAGCUAUUAAUGAACUAACUUAACUCCAAAUAUGAUUAACAUGACUUUUAACAACUCCUAAACCGAGGUGACUCUAAUAGCUUAGGCUAUUUACAUUUCCAAUCAGCUUAAUUGAAUACACUUAAUGAGCUGAGCUGAAUCUUGCUAAUUAUUGAUAAUCCAAAGAGUUAUGAGCUCCUUUAAUCCUCUCUUAGGAAGCUGAAUAUGCAGCAGCCUUUUAAUUUAAGUUGUGACGCACAAACAGCCUAAAUGGUGUGAACACAAGAACUCAAUCAGCCUUCAAGUGUGAAUAUAUGAAUUUAAACAACCUCUAAGGUGUGAAAUUAGUUGCAAACUGAAUGGUUUAGUGUGAAUGUGCUUUUGUCCAUUGAUCUCCAUGAAUAAGCACUUGGAGAAGAGUAAUUAGUAGCUUGGUUUUUAAUUCAGCUCCAAAUGCUUUAAUUUCUUUUAAUGUCAUCCGAUGCAUCUAGCUAGCUGAUUCAGCUGGUGUGAACACUUACAAGCACCAAUAAGUUCACUUAAGGACACAUUCAAUACCUAUUUAAAUUGUCUAAGCUUAUGACACAUUAAGUAGCUAUAUUAACUAGAACACAUUAAAUAAACUUAAGACAUAUUAAAUGGUUGUACUAAUUAGAACACAUUAAUUAACUUAAGACAUAUUAAUUACCGAAUCUAAUUAGAACAUAUUAAAUAGACUCAAGGCAUAUUAAAUACUUAAACUAAAAAUAACUAAACAUUAUUAAUGUUUAUUCUAGCAAAUGAUUAAUAAAAAAAUGAAAGCUAAAAUUCAGCUAGUUCAUGAAUGAUCAAUAUACCCCACGAUGGUAUCUCCCCAUAUUCGGUUAAGGUAGCUUGCAAUGGCUUCUUUGAACUUCUUGGCCCUUGCUCGAGUAAUUGGCCCCAAAGGUAGUUCAAUGGGUUUAGUAGCUAGCUCCUUGGCCAUGCUUGCAUCAGUACCAAAAAGGUGAGCAAGUAUCGGUCCUUACAAGGUGGUUGAAAGGAUUGGUCAGUAGCCUACUGACUUAAGCUGCCACAAGAACUAGAGUAAAUCCAUGAUAAACAUCAAGUGUUCAUGUUAAGGAAGUAUCGCGCGAACCCUUCCCACAUUGUUUCAGAAGAUGAAAUUGACGUGUGACCUGGUCUUACUUAUGAUGAAGGGCCCAUGGAAAUCUUAGCUCAUGAAGAAAAGACUCUGUGAAAUAAGAUGAUACCUCUAGUUAAAGUGUUAUGGUGAAAUCACCAAGACCAACGAAACCACUUGGGAAAUAGUGGAAGCCAUGAAUUUCAAGGACAAAAUUUCUUAAGAAAGGGAGAGUUGUAACAUCCCGAAGUAGGGCCUAGAAUUAUAGGGCCAAGUGAGCUGGGUUCACCAAAGAGUUUGGCGAAUAAAAAAUCGCCCAAGGGUGUGAUGAAUAGGUACUUGUUAAUAAGAAUGGUGAACAAGGGUUCGCUAGAGAACAUGAUAAGCAUGUAUACGCCAGUAGAUUGGCGAACAAGUUAAGACCAACAAGUUCAGCAAGCUAAAGUACACCGAUAAGCUUGGCAAGUAGGAGUUCUUUAGAAGGCUUGGUGAGCUGGAGUACGCUAAAGAAUUUAGUGAACUUAGAUUGCUAGCAGGCUUGGUGAAACAGGGAUUGCCAAUGGGCCGGAGAACUAUAGUUUUGGGUUGUGAGUUAAAAAUAAGAAUGGUAAAAGUAGAGUCGUGCCUCAGUUAGGAAUGUUAGCUUACUUUUCUCUUUGCAACACUAUCCAUGCAUGUAGCUCAAUCUUACUUCUAUUAAAAUUAGAGUAUCUUAAGGACAUUAUUACACUUAGAACCUAUAAUUAAGCUAUUUCAAUUAAGGGAAUUACAUAUUAUUUUCUCCUAAAUUUACCGUCGAUUGUUCUGUCAGCCAGUCCUAAAAGCCCAACAUUUAGGAAUCAAAAACCAUCUUUAAGUAAAGUCAAAGGAAUAGCCAAACUUGUCUAAGUCUUCAAGAAAAUUGGUGAUUGUUUAGGGAUCACCACUUGUAUGUACGACCUAUAAUGUUAAUUAGGAGCUUAGGGUUUGACCUAAGUUUCAGGAAGUAAGUCUUUUCUAUUACUUCAUUUUACGAAAGUAUUUCAAUAUGUGAUCUCAUGAAUAGUGACAUGCGAGUUCUAUGUGACGAGCUCUACAUGAUUAUGUGUUUUGUGAGCUCUAUGUUAAGUAAAUGUUUUAAACUAAAUGUAAUGCCCUCAACUCGAUCUGAUUUGUUAGAUCGAGAUCUCGUGUGUUACAUUUCCUAUUAUAGACUUAUUUAUAUCUAAACGUUUAAACUUUCAACAAAAAACAUCUUAUUUAAUAGGACUACUUAGCUAGAUCACGUCUGGACGUACAGUAACUAAUUAUAAAUAUUAAACAUGCCUAUUCAUUAAACGAGGAUUUACAAGUAUAUAUAUCGCACUUAUUUGAAGAACACAUUCUAUUUUCACUACAAGGCUUCCAAAUAGAUUGCCUAGCCCAUUCAGAGUGUUUCUGUCAAAUUUGAUCACGUCACCUCAAGCUCACUCUGUAUGCAUAACAACCCAUCUCGCCAUUCCCCUGUCGUAGUCCCACCUGACAUAGCCUAAAAUAAGUUUACAUGUGUCAUAAAAGACACAAAGUUAAGUUCAUGAAAACUUAGUGAGCAAAUCCUCCUUUACCUGAUUCAUACUUGAAAAUUCCAUAUUCAUAUCCUUUGCUCUUCUCCUUCCUUGACUUAGGCGGUUACAUCCAUAAUAUUCCAUUCAUUGCAUCGUUGGUGUCAUUCCUCAUUCUGAGAUCAUAACUUACUAUUCCUAUCAUCAUUACCUUAUUCAAAUUCUUCAUUUUGUUUUUUCAUGAUUUCUUAACCAUUCAUAUUACAGAGGGCCUUACAGGCAGAAGACCUUGGGUUCGCACUGACGUUGGCACACUGUAGUCUCGUUGUUCUUACCAUGUUACUAUACUGGGUUAGCCAUAAUAGUUCUCAGGGAGACUUUCUUUCAGAGUUCACCAUACUUAUCGUUCCUUUAAGAGACUUCAUAUGCCAUUUUAUUAGAGUUCACCAUGGGUUUCUUUCUUUUUGUUCAGAGUCCACUAUAGAGGCAUUUCUUUCAAAUGGUUGACACAAGUGUCAUUCUUUAGAUGGCGCCAUGAAGGCAUUCCAUUUUAGCGAUAGCUACAAAGGUUUCCUUAUCCAAAGAUUGCCAUAAUGGCUUCAUUAUCCAGAGAUUUCAACAAAGGCUUCCUUAUCUAGAGAUUUCCAUAAUGGCGUCCUUUUCAUUAAGUAGUCGCCACAAAUACUUUCCAUUCAGAGUCUUGCCACAAAGGCAUCAUUUAAGAGGUUCACCGCAAAGGCUUACCUUUCCAAAUUUUUUCUACAAAAGCUAUCCUUUAAUAGGUUCACCACAAAGGCUUGCCUUUCUAGAGUUUUGCAACAAAGGUUGUCCUUUAGUAGGUCCGCCACAAAGGCUUGCCUUUCCAAAGUUUUUCCACAAAGGAUUUUUUUCUCCUAGUGAUUUAGGUGAUAGGGAUUUGCCUAGACUCACACUUAAUAAGGUUUGCCCCUCAUCAUCCUGGGACACAUAGAGAACUUAACCUUAAAUUUUUUCCAUAUGAUGCCAUAACCCACUAGUUACGAUCUUACACAAUAUGAUCUUCUUCCAAUAUGAUGUCAUAACCCACCAGUUACAGUAUUACAUGAUAUCAUUUUCUUUAGUGCCAUGGUCAUGGACUUGUCCUUUCAAAGAUUUGUGAUUUUGUCCUAACAGAUCAUGCAUAUGGAUAUGGACAUGGACAUGGACACAGACUCAUGAUGCAUCCACUCACUCAUGAUAGACAUUCUUAUGCUUACCAGACACACAUACACUUCCUAUCAGACUCGUUCUUCUUACUUUCAGACAUAAACACGUCAUAGUCAUUCAGUUUCAUAAGUCUUACAUCUCUUAUUAGAUUCGUCACAUCAUGGUUUACUAGUUUCAAUCUCAUGCUUUGGCCGCUUAGCAUAGAAGUUUCUAGAUAAGCAUAAUACACAUGCGAUAGUCAAUCUAGGGACUCAUCUUACUUUCAUGAACAAAAAAUUGAUCCCCAAGUUUGCACAUCCUUUUGCGGACCCUUAAAAGUCACUAUUUGUAAGAUAUUGGAAUAUUAUCAAAUCUCACCCAUAUUGUUAGCAUAAAACAUUCACCAUGUAAGGCCUUCUUUUUCUUUCCAUUUGUGUACAUAAUUAAAAUCAUUCAUGCAAAAACAACACGUGAGUCCAAAAUACUUACCCUAUGUGAGAUAAAACCUCAUACAUGAUUAGCGAGAAACCCCUGAUUAGCUUCUAGAGCAAGGCAACAAUGGUUUUAUUUUUGAAUAGCAGGAAGAAGAUGUAACAAUUCGUUUUUCAGUGGUGUCAGAAACAGUGGUUUUAGGACCACCAAAUUUGACAAGUAAGUUUGUAUAUAUUGUUAUUUAAUAUUUAUGAGUCAAACAUGGUUUUAAAAAGGUUUGUGAUAUAGUAAUUUUUGUUAUAUAAAUGAUUUAAUAAGUUCAAGUGGUAAGACCCUAAGGUCAAGUAGGUUUAGAAAAUGAGCCGUAAAUAUUUUUAUAAAUAUUUACAAAGUGUCAUUAAGGUGGUAUUAAAGUUUUGUUCAAAAAUUUGAACGUUUCGGUAGUUAUUUAAUUAAAAAAGACUAAAUCGUAAAAUAUGUAAAAUUUGGUCACUAUUUGAUUUGAGUGAUUAAAUGGUUAGUUGAAUAAAGGAAAACGGACUUAAAUGGUAAUUAGACCAUUCAAAGUGUUAGUGGACAAUAAUGGACAUGAAUUUGAUGUUCUAUUUAAUUAUUAACUAAGGUUAAAAUGGUAAUUUGGUAUAUUAAAUUAAAAUAAAAUAAAAACAAAAGGUAAUUGGUUAUCAUCUUUUUAGUUUCUUUUUCAAACAACCGAAUGUCAUGAAGGAUUUAAGCUAAGUUCAGCCUUGGUGGUUUCCUAUUGUAUGGCAUGUGAUUUUGGCUUAAUUUUUAAUAAUUUUUAUAUUUUUGAGAUUGUUGCAAUUAGACCAGCUAGCCCGUAACUUCAAAUUUGAAAUUGUUAAAGAUUUUGAAUGUUGCCAUUAAUGAGCCUCGUGAUUUUAGAUGUUAAAUGAUGAAUUUGAAAUAUUAGUUGUUAUUUAAAAGUAUUCUAUUAAGUGACUUUUGAUGAAUUUGUCAAUUAGGGACUAAAUUAUUAAUAUAGUAAAAAUACAAGGAUUAGUUAUGAAAUUGUUGCAUGAAUGGGCUGUAUUGGAUAGCAUAAGUAUUCAGUCGGGCUUAAUUUUGGGUAAAAAUGGUUAAUUUGAGUGUUUUAGGAUCAAUGACUAAAAUGAAUAAAAUUUAAACUUUAGGGGUAAAUUUGUAAAAAUGUCAAAAAUGACUAAAUUGCAUAAAGUAUAUUAUUUUACGGUCUAAACUAAUAGAUUGAAUGAAAUUAUUAAUUUAUAUCAAGAUCGGGUGGAAAAUUGAGGAGAAUAGAAAAUUACCAAAAUGCCUCUGUACUUUGACAUUUCUGCAAUUUAGCUAGGUAAGCUCGUAGGUAUAGAAUUGUACAUACCAUAAUUCACUUGUUAGUACAUAACUUAUACCUUAACUAGACAAACUGGUGUACCUUAACUUGGCGGUGUCUUCUUAUAACUCAAAAUCCCUUAAUAUCUUUGCCAAACUCUCCUUUUACACAAUCAUACACUUUUCGGAGAUCAUUCCUUGCCUUGCAUCCUAUCGUUGUCUAUGCGCCCUACUAGUGCACCAGAACGUUAUCUUAGUGGAUAGGCGCCAAUGAGAUUUUGUUUGGGGCACUCGUCUAGACUCUAGACUCUCCGAAUUUGGGUGUUACAAUAAUCUUCUAAACCUAUUGGAUAUAAUGACAUGGCAUAGGAUUGUGAGUACUCACCUAUAUGUUUUGGGUUUUGGGCUUUGAAGCUUUGGGAUAGGCUGGAUAGAUAAGGGAAUGUCGAGCUGAGCUCUAUUUAUUAGGACAUGUUGGUGUCUUGGAGAGUUUUUAGUCUUGUGCUACACUUAUGGGACAUGCUAAGGACUCAUUGUGUCAUUCUAAAGCAUUAUAAGGAGAUCUGGUUGUCCAACAAGAAUGAACAAGCGAAUAAGAAUAUGAUUUUCAAGAUACUAUGUUUUUACUAAGAUCAAGGACUAUAAGUAAUUACUAACCAGGCUUCGCACAAGUAUGUUGAACCCUACUUCAUAAAUUUGUAAUAUUACCUAUGUUUUUUCUUAACUUAUGUUUUGAUCUUACUGCGUGGUUAUUAUUGUUUCAUUUUUUUUCCAUUGAGUUCGCAAGGAUUCACAAACUCUUUGCUAAACACUGCAAGUAAGUAGAUCGCAAGGUGAGUAGCUACGAGAAGAGUGAUCUAAGUGAAGCAUACAUGUUAGAAAGGUAGAGCAAGUGAACCCUGGACCACAAAGUCAAUGUGAAAUAAUUUGUAUGGGCGUAGAGAUAUAAAUAUAAUGACCUCGCCAGGUGAUUUACAAUAAAGAAAAUUACUUUAUGUUUCUCUGUGUUUUCUUUAAAUUUAAAGUGUAAACUGUUAAUGCUUGACCAAAUCAUUUGAUAUUUAAAGAUGUUAUUAUAUACCAAGUUUGCUUUGAUGUUCACUUAAUUCUCCUUUUCCUAUAACUGUCUCUCACACAUCUUUUUGUGAACCCUUGUUACUUUAAGUUGCAGCAUGAAUGAACCGUAUUGAUUAUCUUAUUUAAGUUCAUCGAAAUACUUUUACGAUUGUUGGUGUCGGAGUGUGAACCUUAAACAUAGCAAAUUACUUCCAGUGAACCCUUAACAUAUUAGAAUAAUAUUACUUAGUAGAGAGCUCUACAAAUUGAGUUAGCAAAAUCUAAGUACUUAGGAUGAGUUUGUGAACCAUAUUCCAUUUUAAGAACUUAUUGUUUUGUGAACCUCGUUUGCAAAGUGAACGCUAUCUCGAAAGCUUAAGAAUCUUCGAGUAUGUAGCACUUAGCAAAGUCAUUAAGUGAACCCCUAGUAGACAAUAGGUGAACCCUUAUAUGAAACCAUACUUGUUAAAGUAUGCGAACCCUUAUUUAUUACGUUUUGUGACUAAAUGAAACAUGGUUAAGUUUUUUAUCUUCAUGAAAUUUUCUUGCAUGUGAAUAACUUAUUCAUAUAUUUCAUAUUUACAUGGUGGUGUGAAGGAGGUUAGGUUAGGAGUAAUGGAGAGUCAUUAUGGUGGAUAAUAUGGUGUUUGGUAGCUCAGGUUUGGAUAUUGGACUGGGUAUAGGAUGUUACAUUUGUUGGUAUCAGAGCUAGCCAGGUUGGUGAACUCACUAGGUUUUGUCAGAGCUCGCCAAGAAAACUACCUAGACUGGUUUGCCAGGUUUGUAAGACAAUUUAAGUGUUAUGUAUAACUGUUGUUUACUUCAGGCAGGAUUGGGAAAUAUGUAUUGCCUUUGUCUAGUUGUUCCCUUUUACAGGAAAAUGCUUCAGAUCACCGUUUGCUACUCGCCUUUUUAAGUUAGUUGUGCCACGAAUGCACCUUGGCGAACAUUGUAAUAGCCCGUUUUUGGGUCAAGUUGGAACAGUGGUUUCAGGACCACAAAUCUGAAGUAGAAAUAUUUAUUAUAUUAUUUCUUUAAGGUCUACAGUAUGAUUGAAUGAUCGUUUUGAAAAUUUCGUUAAGAAAUUUUAUCGAUAGAGUGUCCAAUUUGACUAAUAAGACUAAAUUGCAAUAAGUGCAAAAUAUGUGUUCUAGAAGCUAGAGGUGUCUAAUUGAAAUGAAAUUUUAAAUUGGAGGUCAUUAAAUGGUAAUUAGACCAUUAUACUUUAAGUUGGACAAAAAUAGACAUGGUUGGAUAAAAUUUCAAAGUUUUAAGUGAAGGGCAUUUUGGUUGUUUGGUAAAUAAAGACAAAAUUACCUAAUAAAAAGAUGUCAUAUUUUCUAAUUUGAUCCUCCAUGGCCGAAAUUCACAAGAGGAAGAUAGAGGUAGGGUUUGGCCAACUUCCAAGCUCGAUUGUAAGCCCGUCUUUUUCCUGUUUUUAAUGAUUUUUAUAUUUUUGUGAAUUUGUAACUUGAUUUAGCUAUUUCAAGGACUAAUUUGAAAGAAAAUCAAAGUCUUAAAUUUUACCCAAGUAGAAUAUUUGUGUAUUUUGAUGUCUAAUGAUAAAAAAUGUAUGUUUGAUGUUAGGUAAACAACAUUUACCAAGUGAUUUUUGAUGAAAAUGUCAAAUAGAGACCUAUUUGUAAAAGUUGUAAAAUGUGUGUAAAAAUAUGAAUAAAUGAAAAAUGUGGACUGAUAUGAGUACUAAUAAUAUCCGGCUAGGCUUGGGUAAUGAAGAAAUCGAAUGAAAAUCAUUUUACGAGCCUAGAGACUAAAAUGUAAAAAGUUAAAAAUUUAGGGGAAAAAAUGUAAUCUUUGCCAUAAGGUGUUUUUGAGAUUAAAUUGAAUAAUGUGAUGUAAGUUAAAUUUGAUAUUAUAGAUCAAGAAAGAAGAGGUUUUGACCUAGACCGAGGAAAGAACAAAGCUAUGGACUAAAUUGAACUAUUAGCCAUUUUGUUCCGAGGUAAGUUCGUAUGUUAAAAAUAAUUGUUAAUAUGAUUGUAUUUUAUUGUUUUAAUAUUGCAUGAAUUGUAUGUUUGAUAAAUGUGGACGAGCUUAAUCCUAUGAACGAGUCCAAAGAUGAAUCAUCAAGCAAGAAAUCCCAUUUAUACCUUAGGAAUAGGGUAGGAUACAAGUGACAUGUCACUAGACUGGUUAUGUGUUAUGUGAUUAUGUGAUUCGAGUGCUGGUCUUAUACGUCCUACUGGUGGCUGAGUAUACCGACAUAUGUUGCAGAUACUUGACAGCUUGUGUGAGGAGCACCGCGUAGCUACGUCUUGACUGACAGCUUGUGUGAGCAGGCCCGUUGAUAGCUAGAGAGUGAGCAACUAUGAGAUAUGAGAUUUGAGGUAACAUUGGCUACAUAUGUGGCACUUAGUGUGCAAGAAUCCCGAGUAUCCGACAUUAUUAUUUUGAAUGGUUCACGGGUAUGUUAAAGAUGAGAUUAUGUGCAAAUUCCUUUCAAGAUGGUACAGGUAUGUACUUGAAGCUCAUAUCUAAUAAUUUCUUGAAAGGAUGAAUAUGAGGUAAGUUUUGUGAUGGAAUGAGCUAUGAUUAUGAGACCAUGGUAAAUGCACAUUUAAUUAUGUUAUAUUAUUUGAAUGUUACACGUAAGGUAGGUUGCUUAUUUCUUGCAUACGAGCUUACUAAGCUAUAUAGCAUACUCCAUUUAUUUCCCAUGUUUUUAUAGUGUCGCCAAGCUAGCUCGGAUCGGAGAUUGUCGGAGAUUCGCUUCAUACUCUCAAACUCUCAUUUUUGGGUUUUGAUGAUCUUAGUAAUUUGAAAGUAUGGCAUGUAUAGGGACUUGGUUAUGUUGUUAUAUGUGUCAUUGUGUUUUGGCCAAAAAAUAUUGGCUUGUAAUUAUCAAAGGUUAUGGGGUAUUUGGCCAUGUAACUUGGCUCAUUUUGAUUCGAAUGGUUGUCAGCAUAUCUAUAUAGAUAUAUAUUUAUGUAUGCAUGCAUGUGCAAUCAUCCUUAUGUGACAUGGUCUAUGAAUGCUUGGUGAAUGAUGGAAUUGUGAUUUAAAGCAUGAAUGUGAAAUGUUUGGUGAUAUGAUCUAUGGAUGAAAUGAUAAAAUUUGUGUACAAUUAGGUAUCUUGAAAGUAGUCAAUUGUGGUAUGAUAAAUGUUGUGUAUAAGAUAGAUGUUGAUAUUCUAUUGGCAUACAUUGGUCAUAAAUGUGGAUGUUUUCAUUGCCUAAGUAUAUUAUGUUUUGUGCCUUUGAAUUGGUGUAGGUGUAUGUGUGAAUAAGGGUGGCAAAUGGCUUGGCAAAUAGCCUUUAUUUUGUCCACACGGGUAGACACACGGGUGUGUGUCUAGGCUGUGUGUGACACACAGUCUGCCCCAUGGGCUUGUAUAUAGGUCGUGUGUCCCCUGCACCCAAAUUUUGAGAAACAGAAUGCUCAGAAUUGAGCACAUGAGCAGAGACACGGGCGUGUGUCUCAGCCGUGGAUGACAUGGCCUCAGGCACGGGCGUGUGUCUUAGGCGUGUGAAGUCUGCAUCUAUUUUUUGAAAAUUUAAUUAUCCACAUGGCCUAGCACAUGGGCAUGUCACUUGGCCUUGUGACAUCAAUUUGUUCAUGCAUUGCAAAUUAAAGAGUUACACGGGUUAGGGACACGGGCGUGUGUGACCACACGGCCUAUCCACAUGGGCGUGUGACCCCUGUUUAGGGCAAAAAUUUUCUAAGUUUUGUAAAACUUUUUAAAGUUCUCGGUUUAGUCCCGGACCACUUCCAAAGCAUGUUUUGGGCCUUGCAGGCUUGUAUUAGGGACUUUAUGAUUGAACGAAAAUGGUUUUAAUUUAGACAAAAAUUUAUGACUUGGAUUUGUGUGAAUGCUGGUGUUGUAAGUCUGGUAAUGCCUCAUACCCUGUUCUGGCAUUAGAUACGGGUAAGGGGUGUUACAAACAUAUUUGCCUAAGUGUUCUGGCGAACUCUGUUCACUUAUGUGUCUAGUGAAUUAAUUUUGAAAAUAUAUCUAUUAAGUCGAGGAUGUAUAACUGUAAAUGUUUAAGAUUGUGUCUUAUGUUCAUUAAAGUAAGUAAGAUACCUCCAAGAAGAGUGAAUGUGAACCAUGUUAAUGGAAAUGAGGAUCCUUCAGAGGAUGACAGAACUUCGACAUCACCAGUUUGAAAUCGCAGGGCAAGUGGCAUGGACGAGAGUGUCGGACCACUGGUACAAGCCAUGCUUGGAGCGUUUCGACAAUAUGCUAGUGCAAACCAUGCUCUUUCCAGUCGAGGAUUGCCACUAGAGCAUUUGCAAGCUCUGGGUGGUAAGGAGUUCAGUGGUAUAAGACGAAUCGAUCCAACUAAGGCGGAGUAUUGGCUUGAGAAUGUUGAGAAAAUCCUUGAGCUAAUGGCUUGCAUUGAGGAAGAAAAGUUGGGAUGCAUAGUGUCCUUGGUAAAUUGGCAAAGCCCAUCGCUGGUAGAAUACUGUGAAGCAAGGGACUAUUGUAAAUAGAUUGACUUGGGAUUUCUUCCUAGAGACAUUUAAGAAGAAAUUAAUGUACGAGCAUCACAUGGAAGCUUGCAAGAGAGAAUUUAUCAAUUUGGUAUAAGGCAAACUGACUGUGGUUAAGUGUGAGGCAGAAUUUGUAAGAUUAAGCUAGUACGCAGCUGAAAUGGUUUCACAAGAAAGGAAUCAUUGUAAGAGGCUCCAGUUUGGAUUGCAUCACCAUAUCCAAAUCUGGUGGCCAAUGACACGACAUGUUUAGUUCAGUUGGUUGAUAAAGCUAAGGUUAUUGAGGAGAUAAGGGCAGAAAAAUUGCAAGCUGCUACAAGGUACAAGAAAUAGAUGCUUGGACAGAACAGUCAAAAGAUGGAUUGUGAUUCGCUUAAUUCUAAUAGGAAUAUUAAGCAUAAUUUUUUAGUGGACCAUUCACGAUAGUAGGGUAUCACUCAGGCUGAGAAGGAAGGUUCGCACAAGUUGCCAAGUUGGCCACUCUACAAACACUUUGAACGCAGGAACCUGGGUGCAUGUUAAAAGGUAACAGGAGGAUGCUUCAAGUGUGGGUCCAAGGAACACCUGAUAAAGGACUACCUAAAACAAUAGAUGGGGUCGCAAGUGUAACAACCCAUUUUUGGUGAAAUCGAAAUAGUGGUUUUCGGACCACAAAUCUAAUAAGUAAAUAUUUAUUUUGUUAUUAUUUUAAUGCCUAUGGUUUAUUGGAAAGGUUGUAAAAAAAUUUCGUUACGAAAUUUUAAUGUUUGCAUGCUUAAAUAAGUGAAAAGGACUAAAUCGUAAAAUGUGUGAAAGUAGCAUUCUAUUAGUAAAAGGAGUCUAAUUGUUAUGAAACUUUAAUGUAAGAGGACUUGGAUGGUAACUAUACCGUUAUGUUAUUAGUGGAUGUUUAUGGUAAGGUUUUAAUGAAACUAUAAUGUUUUUAAAAGGAUAUUUUGGUAAAUGAACGAUUAAGUUAAUUUGAUAUGUAAAUUAAAGAUAAAAGAAAGAUGUCAUCUUCUUGUUUCUUCAUUUUCAUGAUCGAAAAUCACCAUUGCUUAUUUCCAUUUGCAUGUUAUGUAGUUUUAUCAUGUUUUUAAUGUUUUUUUAUGUUUUUGAAGUCGUUGUAGCUUAAUCUAGCUAGCCUUGGGAUUAUUUUGUAAAAUUGUUAAAAGUUUAGGGUUUUUCCAUGAAUGUUCUUGCAUGAUUCUUAAAGUUCAAUGAAAGAUUAUGAGUCCUUGUUGAUAAAUAAACAAGUUUUGUAAAGUGAUUUUUGAUGAAAAUGUUAAUUAGGGACUUAUUUGUAAAAAUAGCAAAAGUACAUGGUGAAAUUGUGAAAUGAUAAUUUUUAUGAGUUGAUAUGUGUUCACAAUAAAUUCGACUAGCAUGGGCUAAGGAUGAAAUGUAAAUUUCCAUUUACGAGCUUAAAGACUAAAUUGUAAAAAGUUAAAAUAUUAAGGGCUAAAUUGUAAUUAUGAAAAAUAAUAUGAAAUACAGACUGAAUUGAAUGAUAGAAUUAUUAAAUCGAUUGUAUUCGUAUAUUUAGAUCAAGAUAGACCUUGUACGGAGUUAGAUCAAGGAAAAGCUAAAGCUUCUGAUUAUUGAUCUCGUUUAUACAUCUGUAUUGUCAAGGUAAGUUCGUAUGAUUAUAUAUUGUUUUAAUGCUAUGUAUAGAUCUAUAUGUUAAUAUGAUGAUUGCUAUAUAACUGUAUGAUAUAAAUCCAAUAAUGUCACCAAGAUUGUCAAGCCCGUUUGAACCUUAGGAAUUUGUAAGAUACAAAUGAAAUGUCAUUAAGGUUUUCAUGUUUCGAGUGCUGGUCUUUAAUGUCUUACUAAUGGCUGAGGUCCUGCAUUUGUUGCGAAAACUCCAUAGCUUGUGUGAGCAGAAUGGUGUGGCUUACAUUCCGACCCACAGCUCGUAUGAGUAUGCCCAUUUCAUAGCUCGUGUGAGAAAUGAUGUAAAGGAAAGGAAACGUUACGAUUACAUGUUUAGCACAUUUCGUGUGAACUAUCCUGCGUAUCUGAUGAUAUUCUAAAUAGUUCAACAGCCAUAAAAAGGAAAGGAAUGGUAAGUGUUCAAUAUGAACCAUGAUAUGUAUUUAUGAAAAUGAUUGAAAUGGCGAGUUACAUUGAAAGCAUGUUAUAUUAAGGAAGAUGAUGAAUUCUAAUUAAUUAUGUUCAUGUGUAAUAGCUUACCUGUGACAACCCUAAUUUGACCCUAGUCAGAAAGUGGUUUCGGGACCACAAAAUCGAGUCACAAAAAUAAUUAAAUGUUAUGUUCUGUGUUUAUUAUAUGUGAAAGUGCAUGUGUGAAAAUUUCAUGCUUUGAUCUUGUCAAUUGUAUGUGAAAUUAUUAAAUAGGACUUAUGUGAAAAUUUUUGAAAAUGCUAUAGGUUAUUUUGUAGUGGCCAAAUAAUUUUAUGGUGUAAAAUAGGUGGAUUUGCAUGUCAAAAUUUCCACUUUAAUGUAUAAUGGCAGGCCAUAAUGAUGGUGAUAAAUAAAAUAUGCAUUUUAAAUUAGCAUUAUUAAAUUUAAUGGCUUUAUUAUCAUAAAAUAAAGAUAAAUAAAAUAACAAAAAGAGGAAAAAGGACAAAGCUUGUUCAUCUUUGUUCUUCAUAGCCGAAAUUAGGAGAGAAAAGAAACUCUAGCAACAUUCGGUCAUUUACUACAUGCUUCAAAGGUAUGUUCAUGUAUUUUUUUUCUUGAAAUUCUUAUGAAAUUAGCAUGGUCAAAACAUUUCUUGGUUAACCCAUGUUUAAAUUUUGAAAAUUUGUUGUGUUGUGAGCUUUCGGCCAUGAAAGAAAUUGAAGGGAUUUGGUUGUUGUCUUUAGGUUUUAAUGAGAAAUUGUGGAUGAGUGAAGUUUGAGCUAGUUAAAUGUUCAUAUAGGUGCAUUAUAUGAGAAGGUGAAAUCGGCUUGUGUGUAUGUGUAGUUGUCGAAUGUGAAGUUAGAUAACAUUGAGUAAUAUUGUGUUUUAAAAUGAUGAAAUGGAGUUUUAAUCUUGAUAGAAUUUUGUUAAGAAUGAAUGAAAGAAUAUGUGUUUUCGGCUAUGGAUGUUUGGAUAAUAAAUUAGUGUGGAUGCCUUGAUGAGUUAUGCUCAAAUUAUAAGUUGAAUUUAAAGCUUGUUAAAUUGCUCUUAAUAUUUCCGGAUAAGUUACUUAGUUAAGCUUGUUAAAUUUGCUCUUAAUAUUUCCGGAUAAGUUACUUAGUUAAGCUUGUUAAAUUUGCCCUUAUUAUUUCAGAUAAGUUUCUUAGUUAAAGAAAAUUUUAAAGUACUUAGUUAAUUGAUACUAGGUUAAUGGUGUGUGUAUAAAUUAAUAUAAACUUUGUAUAUGUACUAAAGGUUGUAGAUGAAUUCGGCCUUGGGAGAAAUUUUGGUAUAAAAUGCUCGAAGGUUAACAGGUUAUUGGUUUAAUGACCGAAUGUGUCAAUGGCUAAUGCAUGGACUAGUUGAUCAAUAUGUGUUAAAAGGGAAAUGUAAAUAAAUGCCUAUUUGAUGAGCUAUAUAUAUAUUCGGCUAUAUGGUAAAGAUAUAUAUAUGAAAAUAUGAUAAGCCUUAUGAGUUUUGUGUUUGUGUAUGUGAACUAAGUAUACAAUGAAUAUUCGGCUAUAAGCUAGCUUGAUGGGACCUUAAUAAAUUAAAUUUUGUUUGAAUUAGCUCAAGAGCAUAGUGAACCAAGGUUGGACAGGGGAAAAGAGAAAGUAGUUGAACAGCCGAACCGAGACUGUUCAAAAAUAUAUUCGAGGUAAGUUUUAAGUAGUUAAAUAUAUGUAAUAUUUGAUAAUGACAUGACAGAUUAUGAUAAUUAAGUAUUACUUGUCAUAUAUGUAUAUGGCCGAAUGGCAAUUGUAAUGGAAGUAAAAUGUGAUAUGCUUUCAUGAUCAAAUGAUAGUGUUAGAUGAAUAUGAGUAAGAUGUUACGGGUAAACUAUCAAAUGAUAAAUGUGAGUGAUGAAAUGAGAUAAAAGUGAAUAAAAUGUAGGAUGAUAUAUUCGAAUGAUGCUGGUACCCAAUUUAGUGUGAUUGUGUUAUAUGAAACUUGUUGAUUUGAAUAUCGCACAAUACUAUUCGGGCCUUUGAGCCUAGCAGGCUAUAAUGCCAGUGAGAUACUAUUCGGCCUUUGAGCCUAGCAGGCUAUAAUGCCGGUGAGAUACUAUUCGGGCCUCGAGCCUAGCAGGCGAAAUGCCGGUGAAUGAAUUCGGGUUUUUAAACCUAGCAGGCUGAUUGCCGGUGAUUUGAUAAAAGUCUAAAACUAAGAUACCUGGUGUUAGAACGACAAAUGAAUACAUUCAAUAUGUUAAGUUGGCCAGGUACGUAUUAUGUAUUUAUAUGUGAGUAUGAUUUGAAUUGAAUCAUAAGUGUAUAAUGUGAUACAUAUGUGAAUAAAUGUUAUAUCUAUAUCUAUGAUCAUGAUACAUUCGGUCAAGGUGUGAAAGUAUGCAAAAAUAUUCGAUUUAUUUAUGCCAUAUGAAUUCAGAUUAAGUGAAAUUAGAAUACUAAUUGUGCAUUAUGUGCUUGUGUAUAUUCAGCCAAAUGGUAUAUAUCUAGAAAAUGACCUCUUGAGAAAUUGAAUAAUUGAUGUAUAAUUGAGUUUAUUUGUUGCAUUGCUUAAAACUUACUAAGCUUAUGAAAGCUUACUCUGUUUGUUACGUUUCUCUGUUUUAUAGAUUGUUGACUCCAGUCACCUGCUCGGAAAGGGAUCGUCAGCAACUCGUCACACUAUCUAUCAUUUUGGUACUACUAUAUUUUGGAGCUUGUAUGGCUUGUAUAGAAUAGACUUAAGUGAAUGAUAUUUUGAGACAUCUUUGUAUAUAAGCCAUGUGAAUAUGGCAACUUUUGAAUGUUGAUAUAAGUUUGAAUUUCUAUCUUUGAUUGUGUUUGGCUAUGCAUAUAAUUUUUAAUGUUCUUAUAUCAAUGUGUUUGUACAAAUGUGGUAUUUUGGGUUGGUAACACUUCAUAACCCAUUCCGGUGACAGAUACGGGUUAUAGGGGUGUUACAUUACCUAUGUUAAAUUCAUUUGAAUUAUGUUUGAGUAUGCUAUCAUGUGUUGUUAUUAGUGUUUAGGCUUGUGUCAAGCUUAUGGUUAGAUUGUAUUAUGCCUAAAUUUAAUGUUAUGUAAUGAAAUGGUAAGUUAUGUUUUAUGUUUUACGAACUUACUAAGCAUUAUAUGCUUACGUAGUUUUCUUUCCUAUGUUUUAUAGAUUAUCGGAAGCUCAAUCCGUUUGAAAGCUCAUCGGAGUUCUAUCACACUAUCUAGUGAAUAUAUAUCAAUAGUUUUUGGUGUUCUAGCCAAGGUUAUAAUGUCAUGUAUAGGGAACUUUUGUUUAAAGUUUGUAUUGAAUGCUAAGUAUUGAGUUUGGCAUGUAUAAACUUGUUGGUUGUUUGGUACCAUUUGGAAAUGGUUGUUUUGUCACUUAUGAGAUUUUGAUGCAUGUGAAUAAUGGUCCAAAUGAUAAAUUUAUUUUGAUAUGGUAUGGAUCAAGUAUGGCAUGUUUGAAAUAUGGUUAGUUGUGGUAUAUUUUGGUAUGCAAAUAAGUUAGAUAUGUUUAGUUGAUGUAUGGCCAAAUAUGCAUAUGUUUAAAUAUGUUGGAUGGUUUGUGAUUGAGGUGCCUUAUUGUCAUAUUGGUUGUAUGAACUAAUGGUAUAUUGAAUUAGUCAUUUUUAUGCAUGUUUUAGGUAGGUUUUAAUGCCUUGAUCUUAUGUGCAACAGUGUUUAGGUACAUGUUGAGGUGGGUGAAAGAAAUGGCUUGACUUUGGCCAAUUUCUUGUCUACACGGCCUAAGACACGGGCGUGUGUCUCAGCUGUGUGUGACACACAGCCAUAAGACACGGCUAUGUUUCCUCUGUAGCUUUUAAAGGUUGCAAGUCAGACACUUAGACGGCCUAGCACACGGCUUGGCACACAGGCGUGUGAGGCCAUCUCAAGUGUUACACGUCUUGGUACACGGACAUGUGGCUUGGCCGUAUGACCUAAUUCAGAGAGUUACACGGGCACGGAUAUGGGUUGGGACAUUGCUAUGUGUCCAUAUUUUGAUUAUUACAUGGCCUGAGGCACGGGCAUGUGUCUCAGCUGUGUGACCCAUGCAGUUUUGAAUUUUCUAAAUUUUUCCUCAAUUUUUCAAAUGUUUCUGAGUUAGUCUCAAAUCGUUUCUUAAGCAUUUCUAUUGCCUCGAGGGCUCAAUUAAGGGAAGAAAUGCAUGAAUAUGAAUUGAUUAUGAUAUGUUUAACGAAAUGUUUGGAAAUAUAUGUUUUUAUGUUACAGUUUUAUAGUAAUGCUCCAUAACUCUAUUCUGGCGACGAAUACGGGUUAGGGGUGUUACAUCAAGCCCAGAAUGCAACCCUCACACUAGUGUGUGCUGGUGCUUGCGGUCGAGGAAGAGGAAGAGGUAGUGACACAAGACAAGUUGGGUAGCGAACCCUAGCACACAUAGUUGCCAUGCAAGAUCAGAUAGAGGGCUCGCACAAGUGUAUGUUGUAAGGGAACCGCAAGAUCAAGGUUCGUCGGAUGUUAGUACAGGUAUUUUCACUUUCCGAACUCUACCAUUAUUUUUCUUGAUUGAUUUUGGUUCUACAUACUCAUACAUUUUAAGUGAGCUAGCUUGUGAGUUGGGAAUUCGAGUAUAAGCUGUAAAUAAAAAGGAUGACAGUAACUAGUUCAUUUGAUGUGACUAUUUUUAUAAUGCCCUAAACUCGACUAGAUUCACCUGAUUCAGAUAUUAGGUGUUACAUUACUAUUACAAACUUUGCCAUAACCUUUAGUAUUGGCUUUUCUUUUUAAGCUAAUAUAUACUUGCUAAUUCUCAAAAUAUAGUGUUCAUUAUUCAUUUAGAUUCCACCCAUAGACAUUGUCUUCAGAUGGUUGCCACGAGAACCGUUCUUUAGAUCUCGCCACCAAGGCAUUCUUUUCCAAAGAUAGCCAUGGAGGCUUUCCUUUAAGAGUCUCUCCAUAAAGGCGUCCUUUUCCAGAGGUUUGCACAAAGCUUCCAUUAAUAGAAACAACCAAAAAGGAUUUCUUUUAAAAAAGAUCGUCACAAAAGCUUCCUUUUAACAGAUAUCGCCAUAAAGGCUUUCUUACGAAAACUAUCACAAAGGCAUUUCUUAAGGUUUCACCACAAAGGCGUCUCCUUACAGAUUAUCACAAAUGUAUUCCUUAUCAAAUAUUUGCCACAAAGGCAUUUCUUUAACAUUCAGUACUCACCAUAAAUGCUUUCCCCUCAAAUUAUUGCCACAAAGGCAUUCCUUUAAUAGAGAUUUCCACAAAGGCUCACUUUUAUGGAAAUUGGUGUCUUUGACGAUAGGGAUUUGCCUAAGCUCGCCAUUGUGAGGUUUACCCCUCGUUGUCUGGUACUCACCCAACCAUCCUUUACAUAUUCCAUAUAAUGCCAUAGCCCAACCAUGGUUUUACGCUAUAUGGUCUUUAAAGUGCCAUGGGCUUUUCCUUUUAGAGACUCAUGUUUUUAGUCCCGACGGCCCCUUUAAAUGACUUCGGAGACAAACAUAGAUACUUCAUGCAGACUCAUACUUGACAAAUUUAUUCCUUUCAGACUUCUUCAUGAUAGAUGCACUUAUGCUUACAGAUGCAAUGCACUUCAUAUCAGACUUAUUCAAACCGUAACUAACUCAAGCCAAACAUGUUCAUGCUUUCAGAAAAAUAUGGAUGCAUACCAUUCCUUUCCUUCUCACAGUCAUAGAGUCUUGCUUUACUUGUUUCAAUUUCAUGCUUUAGUCACUUAGCACAGAAAUAUCUAGACUACAAUAUACAUGUGAGAGUUAGACUAGAGCUUCACCUGUUAACCUUAAUAACAGUUUGGGCUCUAGUUCUAAGUUCUUCUCUGAGAUUUAUUAGAAAAAAUAGGUUUGGAAAACACAUCGGAAAAUAAAUUUAGUCAAAAACCAGAUUUAAAUUUUUUUUCCAAAACAAGAUCUUGGUUGUGAUAUCUAAAGUAAUAAAAACUUAAUCAAAUUUUCACCUUUUUGAUUCGUCUAGAAUGGGUGCUUUGACUGAGUAGUCUUCUCAGCUAUCCUCAAGCUCACGUCUGGAGAGUGUGGGCUCAGUUCGAAUCAAAAAUUUUUUUACAAAAUUAUCAGUAGGGUAGUUUUGCAAUUUCUCUAAAAUUUGGGUCAAGUUGUAAAUAAAAAAUAUUUCAAGAAAUAUUUUGAUAUAAUCUCUUAAGAGAGUUUUCUUUAUACAACUUCCUCUUAAAUUCAAGUGCGUGUAAAAUAAUGACCCAAGGCUCUCUUUAUGUAAACCCCCUAGCCCAUAUUCGUCACCAGAUAAGGGCUACGGAGGAUUACCGAAAGUUAAUAUCAUACAACGAACGUUUAUUUAACAUAUACAAAACAAAGCAUAAAACAUAGCAAUAUCAUUCAAGCUCAAGCAUAUAGUCCCUUAUACGAGCCCUCAAGGCCUUAAAAACACAUUAUAAAUGAGUCGGGAAAAAAUAAAAAACAUAUAGGACUUCUCAAAAAAGAUGCAAAUUUUUAAACUGGAGGGGUUAAAUAGUUGUGUCCUAGCCCGUGCCCAUGUUUGUGUAAUUCUCUGACUUGGGUUACAUGGUCAAGCGACACACCUGUGUGCCAAGUCAUGUACCCCUCGAGAUGGCCUCUCACACCCGUGUGCCAGGCCAUAUGGUAGGUCGUGUAACUACCUAACUUGCAACCCUUUGUAAACUACAGGGGACACACGACCGUUUCGUAGGGCCGUGUUUCACACACGGCUGAAGCACACGCCCGUGUCUUUGGCUGUGUCGACAAAAAUAGGCCAUUUCUAAGCCAUUUUUCUCACUCAAAGUCACCACUUGCACAAGCAAAAUGUACUUAAUUUCAUGCUUUUAAAUGACUCCUAACAUAUGCAUAUUCAAGCUAGAAUAUCAUAGGAACUAGCCAUACAACCAAUAUGUAACAUCCCGAAUUAAGGCCCAGUCAGAACAGUGAUUUCGAGACCACAAGUUUGAUGUAAGAAAAUUUAUUUUUAUUAUACUUAUCUGGUCUACAAUUUCAUAAAUGAUUUCAUAAAAAAUCUGUUUGAAAAUUUUGACGUUUGAGCACUCAAUUUAGUCAAAAGGACUAAAUUGUAAAAAGUAAAAAAGUUGAGUUCUACAUGUUAAAGGUGUCAAAUUGUUUUGAAAUUUUAAAUUGGAGGUCCUUAAAUGGUAUUUAGACCAUUGGUUAAUUUUUGGAUAAAAAUAAACAUGAAAUCGAUGAAAUAAAAUAUUUUUAAGUUAGGGGCAUUUUGGAAAUCUAAUAAUUAAAAGAAUUAAAAAGCCAAAAUAAGCCAAAUUUGUCCAUCUUCUUCAUGUACCAGCUGAAUCUAACAUUUAAGCCAUGGCUAGGGUUUCGUUCAAGCUUCCGAGCUCAUUUGUAAGUGAUCCCGAACCCCAUUUUUAAUGUUCUUUACAUUUUUGAAGUCCCGGUAACUCGAUUUACCUAUUUCUACCAUUAUUUUGAGCUAAGGUUCAUGUUUAAAAAUUUAAACAUGAGUGAUACACAUGUUUUUCGAUGUCUAAUGGUAGAAAAUGAAUGUUGGGUGUUAAAUAAAUGACUUUUGCUAAGUAAUUUUCAGUGAAAAUGCUUAAAAGGACCAUUUUGUAAAAGUUAUGAAAUUUUUCAUAAAAGUGUGAUUUAGUGGAAAUUUGGGGCUACUAUAGUUAUGAAAAUGAUUCGGCUAGGCUUUAAAUGCAAGGAAAUUGAAUAAAAAUCAUUUGACGAGCCUAGGGACCAAAGUGUAAUAAGUAAAAGUUUUGGGGUAAAAAUGAAAAUUUGUAAAAGUAUGAUUUUUGAGUCAAUUUGAAUAAUGUGAAUAAUAAAUGAGCUAUAUUUGAAAAGUUAGAUACUUAAAUCGGGAAGGUUCAAAGUUAUGGAUGAAAAUGGAAUAAUUCGCCGUGCUCGGAUUUGAGGUAAGUUCGUCUGAUAAUAAUAAUACAAGGUUAUACUUGAAAUGUUAAUGCUUGAUAGUACAUGAAUUGUAAGUUUGUAUGUAAGUAAUUCAACAUUUCCAUUACUAUGUGUUUAAUAAUUGAUAUUUCAUGAUAUAUUUUAUGUAUGAUCUAAUGAGAUUGGCAUGUGAUGAUUUUAUGGAAGUUUGAUAAUAGCCUUGUGUCUUUGAAGCCCCGGGUGACCCGAAGGAAUACUUAGGGUUCGGAUAUUAUGACACCAUGGUUAGUGAGAUCCCAUCUAAGACCAUGUCAGGGACAUGGCAUCGGCAUCCGAGACGAGAGCCAGUGUAAGAUCAUGUCUGGGACAUGGCAUCGGCACCGGUAUGUGAUCCCGUGUAAGACCAUAUCAAGAAUAUGGCUUUGGUAUCAUAUUGUGAUUUCGUGUAAGACCAUGUCUGGGACAUGGCAUCGAUAUGAGGUCUAGUGUAAGACCAUGUUUGGGACAUGGCAUCAGUACUGAUAUGAGACUUUGUGUAAGACCAUAUCUAGGAUAUGGUAUCGAUAUGUGGAUCCAUGAAAGACCAUGUAUAGGAUAUGGCUUUGGCACUUUAAAUGGUGUAUGAUGAUUUUGAACGUCCUUCAGUAUUCCGGGUGGUCCAAUGUGCCAUUCAAGUUCAGGGUUAAAAAGUGGAAUAAAAUGGGUAAGAAUGUAUGGUACAGGUAUGUACACUAAGCUUAUGGUUAUUGAGACUUUGAAAUGUCGAGACAUCAGUGAGCUAAGAUGUAUGAAUUAUGAUUAUGAAUUUUGUUGCAAGAUCAUGUUAAAUUAUAUUGUGUAUUUGAACAUGGAAUUCAUGAAAUAGUGGGUUCACGAUUAGUUGAAAGUGAAAUUAUGAUAGCUAUCAUUACAUUGCACUAAAAUAGUUUUGGACAGCAGCAGUAGUCUGAAUUUGAAAAAUCACCAAAAAUGGUGGAAAUUGAAUUAGAGACUGGAUAAAAUAUGAAAUUAAAUAUUACUGAGUCUAGUCUCACAUAGGGGAAACGGUGUAAGCAAAUAAUUUCAUAUUAUGAGAUAUUUGAAUUUUUGUAAGACAGGGUCAGAGUGAUUUCGGGCUCCCCUGUCUUAAAUUUGGAAAAUCACUAAAAAUUGUACAAACACAAUUAAGGGUUAUAAUUUAUAUUACUAAAUUUUUAAUACGUCUAAUUUCAAGAGAAAUAGACAGGAACAUUAUCCAAAUCCCGUAUUAAGAGAUAAAUAAAUUUUAGUGAAGAAAGGUCAAAGCUGUCAAGUAGCGAUAAAGAGGAGAUUUUUAAGAAUAAAUUGUACUUAUUGGCUUGACCAAAACUUAUGAAAAUUUUAUGGUAAGAAUAUAUGUGAGCCUAGUUUCAAGGAAAAUUCACGGAUCUUAAUUUUGAGUUCUGUAGCUCUAGAUAUAAAUAAUUUAGUAACUAUGACUCGAUAAAACAACAUGACUAGAAUAUAAGUAAAAAUGUAAUUAUGGUUGUAUUACCUUGAAAAGCAUGUUGGCAUAUUACUUAUUAUUUUCAUAUGGACUUACUAAACGUAAAGGUUACUCCCUCCUUUUUAUUUCUUUAGUGUUGUCAGGUUAUCUCAGGGUUGGAGGUCGUCGGAGGUAGCAUCACACUUUCAAGUCAUCACCUUUGGAGUAUUGACAUAUAUGUAUUAAGCACCUUCAAGUGAGUGGCAUGUAUAGGGACUUAGUUUUUAUGAUAGAUGUUGUUAUGAAUAGCCAAAUGUAUUGGCUUAUAUUGAUUCAUUGUAUAUAGUCAUGAGAUGUGGCUCAUAAUGACUAUGACUUGUAAGCCUAGUUAUCCAUGCUAAGUUCUAAUGUUUUUGAUUCGAUGAUGUGUUUAUGCUUGUGGGACAUGCAUGAUUGGUGUUAAGACAUAUGUGUAUGAUAAAUGCUUCAUGACCAAUCGAAAUGGUCAUAGCCAUAAAGCAAUUGUAUGAUAUGGAAAUAAGAUGAUGAUGAUUGGACAUGAAUGCUUGAUAAGGUCACUUGAUAAGUCGAUGAACAUGAAAAUUUGGUAUAAACGGUAAUCAUAUGACAGGGUCAAAGAAUAUGCAUUGUUGUGUCUAGAUUUGGCAUUAUACGAGUAUGGGUAACUUGUGAAUGGUAGUAUGUUAAUGUUAAGAAUAUACCUUAGUGAAGUAUGCUAAAUCAUUAAAAUGAUGCCAUCACACUUUCAAGUCAUCACCUUUGGAGUAUUGACAUAUAUGUAUUAAGCACCUUCAAGUGAGUGGCAUGUAUAGGGACUUAGUUUUUAUGAUAGAUGUUGUUAUGAAUAGCCAAAUGUAUUGGCUUAUGUAUAUGAUCAUGAGAUGUGGCUUAUAAUGAUUAUGACUUGUAAGCCUAGUUAUCCAUGCUAAGUUCUAAUGCUUGUGAUGCGAUGAUGUGUUUAUGCUUGUGGGACAUGCAUGAUUGGUGUUAAGACAUAUGUGUAUGAUAAAUGCUUCAUGACCAAUCGAAAUGGUCGUAGCCAUGAAGUAAUUGUAUGAUAUGGAAAUAAGACGAUGAUGAUUGGACAUGAAUGCUUGAUGUUUAAAUAAGGUCACUUGAUAAGUUGAUGAACACGAAAAUUUGGUAUAAACGGUCAUCAUAUGACAGGGUCAAAGAAUAUGAAUUGUUGUGUCUAGUUUUGGUAUUAUACGAGUAUGGGUAACUCGUGAACGAUAAUAUGUUAAUGUUAAGAAUAUACCUUAGUGAAGUAUUCUAAAUCAUUAAAAUGAUGCCAUGAUGUAUAUUUUUGAUGUGUCUAAAAAUUGUGAGGGAUUAAUGGUAACAAAAGGCUUGGAAAAUAGCCUAAGUGCUAGCCACAAGGGCAGAGACACGGCCAUGUAUCUCAGCCAUGUGGAGGACACGGCCAAGCACACGGGUGUGUGGCCUAGCUGUGUGAUUCAAUUUGUUUUGCUGACAUCAUAAAUAGAGAGUUACAAGGCCUAAGGACAUGGGCGUGUGAACCUGUUUCAUGAAAAUUUUUCAAAGUUUUUUCAAAACUUUCCAAAGUUCUCGGUUUAGUCCCAAACUGCCUUUAAUGCAUGUUUAGAGCCUCGGUAGCUCGUGUAAGGGACAUUAUGCAUGUGAUUGAAUUUUUUAAUUUAAAUGAAACUUUAUGGCCUGAUUUUACGAAAUGGUGUAUGUUUAAGUCCGGUAAUGACUCGAACCCUGUAUCGGCGUCGGUCACGGGUAAGGGGUGUUACACAAUUUGCCAAAAUGACACCUCAAUCUCAACAAUCAAACUUGAUUAACUACUUGCUAAAUUCAUCCACAAUUCAAUCCAUCAAUUGUACAACUUAAAUACUACAUCUAUCAUAAUGUUCACAUACCAUUCUCAUGCACAACAAAUACCAUUAUGACCAUUUCCACAUCUACCAUCUACCUUAAUAAAUUUACCAAAUGCCAAACACAUUCAAGGCUACCAAAACUAGCCAUUAACAACUUUAUUUCUUAUCUCAUUCCAUACCAACAAAAAUUUCAUAGCAUACCUUUAUAAUCAUCAUUUCACUACCAUUAUUGUAGUACUUAGAUGCCAAAAUAACAACCAUUUAAAGUACCAAAUAUACAUGAUAUCAUAAUAACUAUUUCAUCAACCAAAUUAGCUUAUUUACAUGCUAGGCAUAAUGGCUAAUUUCAUCAAACAAAGACACCUAUACAUGCCAUUAUAAUCAUGACUCAAAAUCAUCAAAAUCUACAUAUAUAGCCGAUAGAUAGUGUGAUGAAUCUUUGACAAGCUUCCAAACCGGUCGAGCUUCCGAUUAUCUAAAACAUCAGAGAUAAUAACACAAAGUAAGCAAUUAAUGCUAAGUAAGUUCGUAAAUCAUAAACAAUGCUUACAGUUUCAAUAUUUAAGCUUAAAAGCAAUAAAUGAACUAAUCCAACAUAGCUUGGUACAAGCCCAAGCACCAACAACAACUCACAUUAGUGAUUAACACAUAACUUAUCCAAAUUCAUCACACAACAAUAAGCUUUCAUGUACUUAACAUACAAGCAUUCAUUCUAUUAUGAACAUAGCUAGUAAACUUUAAUCACCAUCAUGUCAUACAUUUUUCAUGCUUUCAUGGCAUUACUAAUCGAAGCAUCUAUCGUUCCUUCCUUUUUUAUACAUGUUGAACCACUAGAAUAAUAUCGGAUAUGCGGGAAACUCACACACUGUGUGCUAACAUAUGGUCGAAACCAUUGCUUUCUCUUUUCUCAUAUAAAUGCUCUCUCUCGAGCCAUAAGUGGGUCUACUCACACAAGAUAUCGGUUGGAAUGUAGCUACAUAGUGCUACUCACUCAAGCUGUCAAGUAACCGCAACACAUGUCGAAAACUCAGCUACCAAUAGGACAUUCAGGACCAGUACCGAAUGACAUGUCAUUUGUAUCCUAUAUAUUCCUAAGGUUCAAACGGGAUCCGAAAGUCAUCGAAACUUCAUUGGAUAUUUCCAUGGAGUCGUAAGAUCAUAAUACAACAUCAUAGCAUUAAUUCAAGUGUAUUAAAACUUUAAUUAAAUGUACGAACUUACGUCAAUCACAAAUGAAGAAAUACGAUCGGCUAAUCCAACACUUUUUCCUUUCCACGAUCUAAAUAAUCAAAUUCAACUUAUUCAAACAACAUUCAAUUUAAUUAGAUCGAAAAUCAUAUUUUGGCAAAAUUACACUUUUGCCCCUAUAAUAUUAAAUUCAUUACAAUUUAGUCCUUAAGCUUAUAAAAUGAAAUUCAUGCAAUUUGGUGCCAACCCAUUAUACCCAAAUUUUACUUAAGUCCUUAGCAAGCCUUACAUUUUAUCUUUCUCAUAAUUUUACCAUGAAUAUUUUUCUGUUUUUCAAUUUAAUCCCUAAUUGAAAAAUUCAUCAAAAAUCUCUUAACAAAAGUUGUGUAUCUAACAACAACCAUUAAUUUUCUUCCAUUAAACAUCAUAAACAACACAUAUACAUUCAUGGUAAAACCUUAAACAUUUAACAGUUUUACAAAUUAGUCCUUGGGCUAGCUAGAUUAAGCUACAAUGACUCCAAAAACAUAAAAAUGAGACAAAAAUGAGACAAAAAUGCACUUACAUGCACUAGGAGAAAAAUGGCCGAAUGUUUGAGCUUGGCUAUGGCUUCCUUAAGCCUUAUUUUUUGUUGGUGAAGAAGAAGAAAGAUGAUAUCUUUCUUUUACUUUAUUUUAAUUUUAAGUUGUUUUAUUAAUUUACAUUUUUAACCUUAUUAAUUAACAUCCAAUCCAUAUUUGUCCACUUAAAUAAAAAAUGAUUUAAUUACCAUUUAAGGCCAUUUAUUUUCCAAUUUCAUAGAAAUUUGACAACUUUUACUAAUAUAAGUCAAAUUUUGCACCUUAUGCAAUUUAGUCAUUUUUAUCAAAUUAAGCAUGCAAACGAUAAAAUUUCUUAACCAAAUUUUUAUACGACACUACUAACAUGAUGUAGACAUUAAAAUAUUAAAAAAAAUAUUUCAAAGUAGGAUAUGUUGUCCCAAAACCAUAGUUCUAAUUUCACUGAAAAUGAGCUGUUACAGCCCUUCUCAAUAAAGGAAUUUUCGUCCCCAAAAAUUUUACCAAAAAGAGGUUCAAAUAUUGCUUUCUCAUAGCUUCCUUUGAUUCCUAGGUGGCUUCCUCUAUAUCGUGACGUUGCCAAAGAAUCUUUACUAAAGAUAUGUUCUUAUUUCUCAAUUCUUUAAUUUCUCAAACUAAGAUUCUGAUCGGUUUUUCAAUGUACACCAAAUCAGGCUGAAUCACGACAUCCGUUGGUGAGAUAACAUGUGAAGGGUCUUAUCGGUACCAUCGUAACAUAGAUACAUGAAACAUGUUAUGAAUAUUUUCUAACUCUAAUGGCAAAGUUAACCGAUAUGCUACUAGUCUGAUUGUUACAACAAUUUCAUACGACCUGAUAAAUCGCAGACUUAGCUUUCCUUUACAACCGAAACGAAGAACUUUCUUCCAGGGCAAUACUUUUAGAAACACUCUAUCACCGAUUUGAAAUUCAAUCCAAAUUCGCAUACGAUUUAUGUCGAUUUGAAGGAACUUUCAAACUAUCACGGGUUGCUUUCACUUUUUCUUCAGACUCUCGAAUCAAAUCAACCCCGUGAAUCUUUUUCUCACAGAGCUCAGUCCAAUACAAAGGAGUUUGACAUUUAUGACCAUACAAAAUGAUUCGUUCGGUGCCAUCUUUAUACUUGAUUGAUAACUAUUAUUGUACACGAACUCAACCAGCGGUAAAUAUUUAUCCCAGUUGCGUUUGAAUUCUAACACACAAAAAUGAAGCAUAUCCCCGAGUAUCUAAAUUAUUCGCUCAGACUAACCAUCAGUCUAUGGGUGAAAUGCAGUACUAAAAUGUAACCGUUACUUAGAGCCUCCUAUAACUUGCUCCAAAAUUGUAAAGUAAAUCGAAGAUCUCUAUCUAAAAUAAUAGAAACUGACACCCCGUGCAAUCUGACAAUCUCAACAACAUAUAGCUCAGCUAACCUUUCAAGAGAAUAAUCUGUACGCAUUGGAAUAAAAUGUACAGACUUCGUCAAACAAUCAAUGACAACCCAAAUGAUAUCUUUCUUUCUCAGAGACAAGGGUAAACCCGAUACAAAGUCCAUUGUAACUCGCUCCCAUUUCCAUUCCAAUAUCAUCACUUGCUGUAAUAAACCAAAAGGUACCUGAUGUUCAGCUUUAACUUGCUAACAUAUUAAACAUUUUGAUACGAAGUCAGAAAGCUCCUAUUUCAUUCCUGACCACCAAUACAUCUAUUUCAAAUCACUGUACAUCUUAUUACUUCUCGGAUGAACAGACAAUUGACUCUGGAUUCCUUGGUACGUAAACUCUACCUCUAUAAAGUAAGAAAUCAUCGGACCCAAUUUGAAAAUCUGAAUCAGGAGUCGCCUCACACAAUUUCCGUUUAGCUAUUAACACAUUAUUGCAUUUUUGAGCUUCACAAAUCUGUAGUAAAAAACAUUGAUCUAGCUUUUAACUCAACUAAAAUCGAACCAUCACCAGACAUCGCUAAUCACGUAUUCAAUGCUCAAAAGCAAAUAAAGACGUCCUACUCAAAGCAUCCGCAACUACAUUCGCUUUACCCAGAUGAUAAUCAAUAAUCAAAUCAUAGUCUUUCAAUAGCUCGAGCCAUCUGCAUUGUCUCAGAUUCAAAUCUUUCUGUGACAUUAAAUACUUCAAGCUUUUGUAAUUUGUAAAAAUAUGACAUUUUUCACUGAAUAAAUGUGUUGCCAAAUCUUUAACGUGAAUACAAUAGCUGCCAGUUUUAAAUCGUGCAUCGAAUAAUUCUUUUCAUGUGGCUUUAACUAUCUGCAAGCAUAAGCUAUCACUUUGCCUUCUUGCAUUAAAACACAGCCAAAACCAUUUAAAGAUGCAUCACUGUAAAUCAUAAAUUCCUUACCUAAUUCAGGCUGAACCAGAACUGGUGCUUCGACCAACAGUGCUUUCAAUUGAUUGAAACUUUGCUGGCAUCUCUCAAACCACUUGAACUUCACAUCUUUUUGUAGUAGUCUCAUCAUCGGUAUAGCAAUCAUAGAGAAUCCCUUGACAAAGCUUCUAUAGUACCCAGCUAAACCCAAAAAACUUUUAACUUCAGAUAGAUUUCUCUGAGGUUUCCAGUCAACAACAGUUGAAAUUUUGUUCAGAUCAACUCUAAUGCCUUCAGCUAAUACAAUAUGUCCCAAAAAAUUGACUUCCCAAAACCAAAAUUCACGUUUGAUAAAUUUUGCAAAUAAAUGCUUUUUACACAGAGUUUGCAAUACAAUUCUCUAAUGCUUGGCAUGCUCAGACUCAUCUAUAGAAUAAAUCAAAAUAUAAUUGAUGAAUACCAUAAUAAAUCAAUCUAAAUACGGUCUAAAAAUUUUGUUCAUCAAAUCCAUAAAUACUGCAAGAGCAUUAGUUAAACCAAACGGCAUCAUAAGAAAUUCAUAGGGACCGUACCUGGUCCAGAAUGUAGUUUUUGGCAUAUCCGAAUCUCUAACUCGCAACUAAUAAUAACCAGAAUAUAGAUCAAUCUUCGGGAAUACUCCUACACCUUUCAGCUGAUCAAAUAAAUCAUCAAUUCGUAGUAAUGAAUACAUAUUCUCUAUUGUAACUUUGUUAAGCCAACAGUAGUCAAUACAUAAUCUCAUUGAUCUGUCCUUUUUCUUAAUGAAUAGAACAGGUGCACCCCAAGGUCAAAAACUAGGUCGAGAAAAAUUCCUAUCUGUCAACUCCUGCAACUGUGCUUUCAACUCUUUCAACUCUAUAGAAGCCAUUCUGUACAAUGCUAUCGAUAUCAGUGAUGUUCUUGGUACUAACUCAAUGGCAAAUUCGGCCUCUUUAAUCGGUGGUAAUCUAGGUAAUUCUUCUGGAAACACGUCUAGAUACUCACAAAUAACUAGAACUGAUUCUAGCUUCAACUUAGAAACUCUAGAAUCCAAUGCAUAUACAAGGUACGCAUCACAACCUUUUCUCAUGUGUUUUUGUGCUGACAUAGCUGAAAUUACCAUAGGCAACACACUUAAACUAUCCAAUUCAAUCUGAAGCUUUUCACCGUUUUGAUAUUUUAAUACAAUAAGCUUUUGUCUACAAUUCACAAUAGCAUUAUGUAGAGCAGCAAAUCCAUACCCAGAAUCACGUCAAUCUCAUCAAAUGGCAAUAGCAUCAGAUCGACCAGAAAGUUAUAUCCCCGAAUCAUCAAAGAACAAUUCUUGUAGAAUUUAUCAACUAACACAUACUAACCUAAUGGUUCUAUACUUUAACCAAAAGUUUAGUGGAUUCAACUGGUAAACUCUUACUUGACACUAGAUUUGUGCAUACAUACGAAUGAGUUGGUCCUGGAUCAAUCAAAGUAGUAACAUUAGUGUCAAAGAUAGAAAAAGUACCACUAAUAACAUCUAGAGCAGAAGCUUAUUCUAGUGCACGAAUCGCAUAGGCUCUAGCUGGUGAUCGUACCUUGGACCUCACAAUAGAGUCCUUAGUCAUACUAAAACUAUUAUCCAGAUUUCUAGGGUUCCUCGGUGGUCUCCCUCUCGCAACUGUAUUUCUCGGUCGAACAAUCUGAAUCUUUUAUUUUUUAGGUUACUCAGGACAAUCCCAAAUAAAGUGUUCAUGCGAACCACAUCUGAAACAAGCUCUGUCUUUCAUCCGACACUCACCAAAGUGUCGUCAUCCACAUAGCUGGCAAUCAGGCUUGGCUUUAACACUAUAAAAGCUCACUACUGACGUAGCUUAAGCUUUACAACUCGCAUGUUGUUUACCUCGAUCUCUGCAAGGAUAUCCCACUAAAGCAGUUGAACGAUUAUGGUGUUCUUUCGAUCUCUUCGAUAAUGACUGAUACAACUUCCUAGUUGAUUAUUUUCUCGAGUUUCUAGCUUCAAAAUCAGCUUUUCUUUUGUCUUUGCUAAGCUCUUCGGCUUUAUGUGCUCUAUCAACUAAAAUAAUGAAUUCUUUUAACUCGAGAAUCCCGACUAAAAGCUUUAUAUAUUCAUUUAACCCAUCAUCAAACCAUUUACAAAUAACAACCUUGGUUGGAAUACAUUCUUGGGCAUACGUACUCAACUAGACGAAUUCUCUUUCAUAUUCAGAUACAGUCAAACGACCCUGUUUAGGCUCAAGAAAUUCUUUGCAUUUCUGAUCAAGAAACCUCUUACUUAUAUAUUUCUUUCUGAACUCAGUUUGGAAAAAUUCCCAGUUUACACGUUCCCUCAACACAAUAGAAACCAACAUAUUCUACCAUUGGUGGGCUGAAUCUUUCAAUAGAGAUACAACACAUUUAACACAGUCGGCUGAUGAACAAGAUAGCUCAUCAAAAACUCUAAUCGUGUUGUCUAACUAGAAUUUUGCUCGCCCAGGAUCAUCUUCUAUUGUAGCCCUGAAUUUUUCAGCCCCAUAUUUGCGAAUUUUAUCAAUAGGCGGCUUAUUCAUGCGUAAAGAUUCCAAAUCUUGAGGAAUAACGGGAAUCGGUUGGGAAAUAAGUGGGGGUGGAGCUCGUUGAGUAGCCAAAUUCAUUUGAACAAACUCAAUGAACCACUUGCUCAUCAUCUAGAAGAAGGCUUCCUUAGCCUCUCCUCCCUAGCCCUUUGAUACGGGCCUUAAACCACUCGACGCUACUCUGUGAACAAAGGCUUGUGUAUUACUUUCUACUUCAUCAGAGUCAUCUCGAUUGGAAUUUAUUAUUAUAUGAAAAUGUAUUUCAAAACGUUUCAGGAGUUAUCACACUAUCACAAAGUAUAUAAUGGCAUUUAUUUCUAGACUCACACACACUACAUUCAGUCUAAGAAUCAGCUAAAUCGUAGCUCUGAUACUAAUAAAUGUAGCACCCUAGCCUGUAUCCGUCGUUGGAUUAGGGCUAUGGAGCAUUACUGAAAGUUAACAUCAUACAACGAACAUUUAUUUAAGAUAUACAAAACAUAGCAUAAAACAUAGCAAAAUUAUUCAAAAUCAAGCAUAUAGUCCCUUAUACAGGCCCUCAAGGCCCUAAAAACACAUUAGAAAUGAGUCAGGAUAAAAUUGGAAACAUAUAGGUAUCGAAAAAAGAUGCAAAUUUUUAAACUGUAGGGGUCACACAACUGUGUGGCCAGACCGUGUGGGCAUUCGUAGUAGGGAUCACACAGUCGUGUCCUAGCCCAUGCCCAUGCCCAUGCCCAUGCCCGUGUAACUCUUUGACCUGGAUCACACGGCCAAGCCACAUCCCCAUGCACCAAGCCGUGUACCCCUCGAAAUGGCCUCCCAUGCCCAUGUGCCAGGCCGUGUGCUGGGAUGUGUAACUACCUGACUAGCAACCCUUUAUAAGCUAUAGGGGGCAGAUGGCCAUGUUGCAUGGUCGCGUGUCACACAUGGCUGAAACACACGCCAGUGUCUUUGGCUGUGUGGAUGAAAAAUAGGCCAUUUCCAAUCCAUUUUUCUCACCCAAAGUCUAGCCACUUGCACAAACCAAAUGUACCUAUUUUCUUGCAUUAAAAUGACACCUAACAUAUGCAUAUUCAAGCUUAAACAUCAUAGUAACUAGCCAUACAACCAAUAUGCCAAAAUGACACCUCAAUCUUAACAAUCAAACUUGAUUAACUACUUGCUAAAUUCAUCCACAAUUCAACCAUUCAAUUGUACAACUUAAAUACUACAUGUAACAUAAUGUUCACAUACCAUUCUCAUGCACAACAAAUACUAUUAUGACAAUUUCCACAUCUACCAUCUACCUUAAUAAAUUUACCAAAUGCCAAACACAUUCAAGGCUACCAAAACUAGCCAUUAACAACUUUAUAUCUUGUCUCAUUCCAUACUAACCAACAUUUCAUAGCAUACCUUUAUAAUCAUCAUUUCACUACCAUCAUUUUAGUACUUAGAUGUAAAAAUAACAACCAUUUAAAGUACCAAAUAUACAUGAUAUCAUAACAACUAUUUCAUCAACCAAAAUAGCUUAUUUAGAAGCCACACAUACUGACUAAUUUCAUCAAACAAUGAAACCUAUACAUGCCAUUAUAACCAUGACUCAAAAUCAUCAAAAUCUAUUACUAUAGUCAAUAGAUAGUGCGAUGAAUCUCCAACAAGCUUCCAAACCAAUUGAGCUUCCCAUUAUCUAAAACAUGAGAGAAAAUAACACAAAGUAAGAAUUUAAUGCUUAGUAAGUUCGUAAAUCAUAAAAAAUGCUUACCAUUUCAAUAUGUAAGCUUAAAAGCAAUUAAUGAACUAAUCCAACAUAGCUUGGCACAAGCUUAAGCACCAACAAAAACUCACAUUAGUGAUUAACACAUAACUUAUCCAAAUUCAUCACGUAACAAUAAGCUUUCAUGUAUUUAACAUACAAGCAUUCAUUCUAUUAUGAACAUAGCUAGUAAACAUUAAUCACGAUCAUCUCAUACUUUUUUUAUGCUUUCAUGGCAUUUCUAAUUGAAGCAUUGUAAACUGAAAAAUAUAUAAGAUUUUUCCUAUGUAAUUUAUCACCUUUUUACUUAAAUUCGUUGUUAAAACUAAGUAAUUGUUUAAUAAAUUAAUGAAAUAUGUGAAAAUAUGAAAUUAGGACAUAGAAAUUAUUAAAAUGUGAUUUUAUGUUUUAUUAUAUAGUUUUUAUGCAUAAAAUGGCUUAUUUUACACUUUUUUGGACAUAUUAUAUUUUUAAGACAUAAAAUGGGCCAUGCAUGAUUAAAUUAAAUAAUAAAAUAUAAAAUUAUAUUUAAUAAAUCAUUUUAAAUAUUUCAUUAAUAAUUUGGGUUGUAAUUAAUUAUUUAAAUUGGAUAAAUUUUAUUCCUUGGUCCUUUAACUUAUUGAUUUAUUUUGGACAGGUCUGAUAGCUUUGUUGGAUUACAAAAAUCGUCCAAAUUGAAGACCAAGUCAACCCAAAUUCGACUACACAUGGCUGUCCACUUAAACCACUUUUUGGUUUAAUUACACAAGGUCCUUGCAUUGUUGAAGAAAUUAGAAAUUUUCCCGAAGAUUUACAUUGGACCGAGUCUCAGUCUUGAGUUCUUAUGGCAUUUAAAUUGCUUAAAAAUCAAGCAAAAAUCAUCUCAAAUUCCACUAAUUGUGGCCGACCACUCAUGGAAGAAGUUUGAAGAGACUAAACCCAACUACGCACCUCUCUUCACCUAUAAAUAAGACCCCUUCAUUUCCUCAUUCAUCAUCUCUCAUCCAUCAUCAUUCUCUCUUCCUCUCAAUUCUCUUUAGCAUUUUCCAUUUCUCACGCUAGCAUCAUCUCUUGAUAGAGAUUUUAGCAAUUAAGCCUCUUAAAGAGCCCUUGGUUGGCCACCUUGGAAAUCCAUCAGCAAAGGAGCAAAAUGAAAGAGCGAAGGAGCCUCGUCGGUCAGAGUCUUAGGUGACAGCCACUUUGAUUUGGGUUUAAUCUUUCUUUUCUUUGAUUUAAUCUAAAAAUGUUUACAAUGUGUUCUUUGUUCUUGUUUACAACAAUGUUAGCUUAAUUUUUUUUAAGCUAGGAUGAUUGCUUUGAUAUUUAUUUGAAUCAUGCUUUUAAUGUUUGAGCCUCAAUCGAUCAUGUUUUCAAUUAAAAUCAAGUCUGUAUUUUGUUCAUAUGUGAUUGAAAUGCUCCUGAAUUAGCUGAGUUAUCCUAACCAGACAAUGGUUAGUGGACAAAUAAUUGAAAUGUGCAUGCUCAAUUUAGAUCCUAACCCGAUUAAAUUGCAGGUUGCAUAACAACUCUAAUCAAGUUCAGUUAUCUGCAUAGUUUUUAGAUUUGUGUGAUUAAACUAUUUCAAAACUAACACAUCCCUGUUACCUCACACGAAUGCUAAGAAACCCCUAGUAAAUAAGGGAUCAGUAAAAUGCGUAUUUACUAAGUAAAGGAUUCUGAAAGGACCUAAUGUGGUUUCCAAAUUAAUGAAAGAUCGAGUUGCCAUGGAAUGUUUUUCUGAAUGUUAUUAAGCAUGUUGAUAAUAAAUUGAGUUUAAUUAAAGUAAUUGUCCUAGUUUAUUUAUGUUAUAAUUGUUGCAAAUUGUGUUUAAUUUUGCUCAAAUCUAUUUCAUUCAUAUAUUUUGCAUACUUAGGAUAAUUUGCAUUGGGAUCAUUGCAUUUAGUUUAAUAUAUUUAAUCAUCACUUCUCAACUAUAUUGUUUUUUAUUUACCAAGUUGUUAGUGUAAUUUUACAAUUAAGUGAUUUAACACAAAUACAAUCCUUGUGGAGACUAUAACUCGAUACUUACUUAUUACUUGAUAACGACUGUGUGCACUUGCACAAACCUACACAUUACAAGCAUCAAUCGUUCCUUCCUUUUUUUCAUACCCUUUGAACCACUAUAAUAAUAUCGGAUACGUGGGAGUCUCACACAUUGUGUGCUAACAUAUGGUCAAAACCAUUGCUUUCUUUUUUCUCAUACAAAUGCUCUCUCUCCAGCCAUAAGUGGGUUUGCUCACACAAGCUACCGGUCUGAAUAUAGCUACUCGGUGCUGCUCACACAAGCUUUCAAGUAACCGCAACACAUGCCGAAAACUCAGUCACUGGUAGGACAUUCAAGACCAACAUUUGAAACAUGGUAACCCCUAAUGACAUGUCAUUCAUAUCCUCUAUAUUCCUAAGGUUCAAACAGGAUCUGAAAGUCAUCGAAACUUCAUUGGAUAUUUUCGUAGAGUCAUAAUAUCAUAAUACAACAUCAUAGCAAUUAAUUGAAGCGUAUUAAAACUUUAAUUAAAUGUACGAACUUAUCUAAAUCACAAACAAAGAAAUACGAUUGGUUAAUCCAACAUAUUUUUCUUUCGCUGAUCUAAAUCCGUACAAUGCUUUUCUUGAUCUAAAUAAUCAAAUUCAACUCACUCGAACACCAUCAAUUCAAUUAGAUCCAAAAAUCACAUUUUGGCAAAAUUACACUUUUGCCCCUAUAAUAUUGAAUUCAUUACAAUUUAGUCCUUACGCUUAUAAAAUGAAAUUCAUGCAAUUUAGUGCCAACCCACUAUAGCCGAAUUUUACUUAAGUCUUUAGCAAGCCCUACAUUUCAUUUUUCUCACAAUUUUACCAUGAAUUUUUUUCUAUUUUUUAAUUUAAUCCCUAAUUGACAAAUUCAUCAAAAAUCUCAUAACAAAAGUUGUGUAUCUAACAACAACCAUUCAUUUUCUUCAAUUAAACAUCAUAAACAACACAUAUACAUUCAUGGUAAAACCCUAAACAUUUAGCAAUUUUAUAAAUUUGUAACACCCCAAACCUGGCCCAGACGUUAUGGCCGAAUUCGACAUGCCACAUUGAAAUUUAAAAUCCAUGUUUCGUUUUUAGUGUUUUAAAAACCGACUUUUGUUAAGCUAACAAAGUGAAUGGAAGCUGGGCACCAGGUAGGUAUCCAUAACAGAGGAGGUGAGCCAUGAAGGCUGCUUAAGUACCAAGCUCUUUGAUUGGGUCCAAUCCUAGACAUGCCCACAACCAUUGCCACACUUGGUUAUAACGAGUUGAAAUUUAUUUGAGUGGAUAUCUUUGAUAAACCAAUUGAUCGUGAUGUUGUGUUAUUUGAAAAUGAGUAUCGUUUUGAAAAUGCACCCUAAGUCUAGCCCAUUUGAAUUAUUAUCAACCAUUUUAAAGUUACUAAAAUAAAAUAAUCCUAGAAAAGAGAAGAAAAUAAAGUUAAAAUGGCCUUAUUACAACCCAAAAAUAAAUAAUAAAUAAGGUAAACUUAAGAAAACCAAUCACUUAUUUGAAAAGCCCAAAAGCGAUCACCGUGGCCACUCUGAAUCCCCUCCGGCUCCAAGCCCCCACUUCAAGGCUCACCUGCAAGGUUAAGGAAGGGGGUGAGUUUGGAAACUGAGUGUGUAAAGUAUCCCAACCAGAGCCCAAAUCAGUUCAAGCUUUACUGGGCCUAAGCCCUAUUCAGAAUUUAGUGUUAACUAGGCCUUAGCCCAUAUCAAUAUUAAUAUGGCCAUAGCCCCUUACAGUAACAGAGCAUACUGGGCCUAGCCCAUAUCAGUAUCAAUCUGGGCCGUAGCCCUAUACAAGUCGAGAUAUAUUGGGCCUUGCCCAUAUCAACACAGUUGGGCCCAUUUCAAUAUAGUCUCAUAUGAUAAAUGCAUGAUAACCCCAUCCAACCCUGCACUUGCCUCCGUCCAUCCCUACACUUCCUGUGGGGAAUAAAUCACCCACGCCAUCCCUACACUUACAGUGUUAGCACCGGUUGCAGCACUAACUAUAAUCCGCAGCAAAGCUGCUUAAAUCAGAAUAUGUGGCACAGCCACCAGAACGGGUUCUUCCUCCAUAACAAAACCCAACCCCAUGCAACAGAUAUACAUGUCAUGGCAUACAACAAACAUAAUCAGAAUAUCAUGCAUUUCAGUCAAAAUUAACCCUAGGGGUAUAACGGUCAUUUUGCACCUAGGGGUAAAACGAUAAUUUUCAUACUUAGGGGUAGUUUAAUAAAAUUUACUAUUCUAGAGUUUACAUACAUAUUCUAACCAUUAACACAUUAACAGAAGAACUUACCAAGCGUUUUUACUGAAUUGGGCCCGUUGGCCCACUAACUCGUUUUCGGCCCAUUAAGCCCAAAUAUACCGAAGUACACGAAAUUGCGCACUCUGCAAUCAUACUGCUGGCGAUUACCAAAAUUAACAACCAAACCACCUCACAAGCGCUCGUACGCUCGCAAGUUCACAAAUGCCGGCUUUUCGGCUUUUCAGCUUUUGCCGAUCUAGUCUAUAAGUGGGUGUCGUUUACACACCUGUUUUAUGACGAUUCGCUAACGAGAUCUCCCCCACGAUUAACCUUGUUGAUCUUACUAGCCUCCAAAUGGAUCUUGAUCGCUAGACUUCGAUGCGCACAUAUAAAAAAAUCGAAUGAAAAAUACUUAAUUUUAACAUUGGCAAAAAUCGAUAGUCUCCCUAAAGUAUUUAGGGGUUUUCAGCUUAUCCUCGAAUUACUAGAUAAAGAAAAAAUAAGAUCUGAAUGCUUACCACCAAAGACGUUCUUGUCAGAAGCGUUUCCAACACUUUUCAAAUCUUAGAUCCACUGUGAAUUUAUCUUAAUCGCAAGUAGGAAAUAGAUCUAAAAAUUAAUUCCCGAAUCACUAAAGUAUAGAUGUUUCAGAUUUUAGUAUAAUGAAAAAGAGAAAAUAGAAAAAUAGAAAAGAGGAGAUGACAGUACAGAUUCAGCUUUGAAGGAAAUUAAAGAAGGAAGAGAUGAGAUAAAAGAAAAGAAAGAAAAGAAGAGUAAAAGAAGAUAGGUUCGGUUAUUAUCGAUGAAGGAAAGAUGAACAAAAAGGGAAUAAUUCAUAAAAGCCAAAAUUAAAAGAACAAAUACGGUACUUAAUGCUUAUUAAAAAUUCUUUCUAAUUUCAAAUUCCCUUGCUUCGCUCCAUGAAUUAGGCAUUUGAAAUUCAUCCAACCACCUGGCAGCCUUAUCCACCGUUUGACCGCUUUAGCCUGCUGCCUGAAGAGUUUUGGUCCAACUCUACUACUCUCCCACACGCAUGCAGCAAAAAGGGGCAUCCGCGCGCUCAGUAGGUCGAACGUGGGCCUUCCACACGCAUAGGCACACUGCUGGCCACUGCGUCGUAGCUUCCUCUUGGAUAUAUGACAGUCGCAAUUAACUUUAAACCUUACCUGUUGAAGUCUUGGUCCGCCUAAAAACAAACCAAAAUAACGCCAGCACUUGGAUUCAAACCAAAAUAACGCCAGCACUUGGAUUCAAACUUGCGCCCUCUCAGUCCCAGUAACGCGCUGCUGCCACUGCACUGAAGCUCUUCUAAUGAUAUAAUCUGCUUACAACUAAUCUUAAGACUUAUAUGCUGCAGUCCCGAUUUUGUUUAAAAAUAAAACAAAAUAUGCUACUUACCAGACUCGAGCUCCUAACCACAUGCACACUCUUAACGCCUUCUUGCCACUUGACCACGUGCCUCUUUUGUGUCACCUUUCCUCUCGAAAUAUUUAUAAGGCCUUCUUGCGGAAAUUCUUGGUUGUAAAAAAAAAAACCAUUUGCGCACGCCAUGCCUUGAACCCAAACACCUCCCAUGCCUUUCCUAGCGUGCUUAGCCACUGGGCCAGGCAUUCCUUCAUGCCAAAACUCAGCCUAAUUUAUUAAUAAGGCCUACUACCCAGAUUUCCUUAAGAGGCCAAAUUUAAGAAUUUUGUGGGCCGAACCCUGGACUUUUCCCCACACUAUAAGCCCUUCAUUACUUAUUUAAUUACCAAUAAUAAUAAUUUUAUAAAUAUAUCUAAUAAUAAAAAAUUCAAAUAAUACAGUAAAUAAAAAUUUUCAUAAAAAUUUUUCAAAUAUACAUACAGUAUAUAUAUUUUUUUCUAAUAGUAAUAAUUUUAUCUCAUAAUACUAAUAAAAUUUAAAAUAAUCGUAAAUAAUAAAUACAGUAAAAAUUUUCUAGUAGUAAUUCAAUUUUUUUUCUUAAACGAUAAUAUGUAAAACUUCUUAAUUAUUCAGGUUUUCUUCUAUCCGAAUUCCAGACUUAAGGCCCAAUUCUUUCUAGGCCCAAUUUUUGGGGCGUUACAAAAUUAGUCCCUGGGCUAGCUAGAUUAAGCUACGAAAACUCCAAAAACAUAAAAAUCAUUAAAAACGAGACAAAUGCAAUUAGAUGCACAAGGAGAAAGAUGGUCGGAUAUUUGAACUUGGCUAUGGCUUUCUUAAGCCAUAUUUUUUGUUGAUGAACAAGAAGAAAGAUGAUAUCUUUCUUUUACUCUAUUUUAAUUUAAGUUGUUUUACUAAUUUACAUUUCUAACCUUAGUAAUUAACAUCCAGAUUACUUAAUUUCAUGUCCAUAUUUGUCCACUUAAAUAAAUAAUGGUCUAAUUACCAUUUAAGGCCAUUCAUUUUCCAAUUUCAUAGCAAUCUGACACCUUUUACUUAUAGAACUCAAAUUUCGCACCUUAUGUAAUUUAGUCCUUUUUAUCAAAUUAAGCAUGCAAACGAUAAAAUUUCUUAACGAAAUUUUUUUACGACGCUUCUAACAUGAUGUAGACAUUAAAAUAUUAAUAAAAUCAUUAUUUCAAUGUCAAAUUUGUUGUCGCGAACUACUAUUCUAAUUUCACUGAAAACGAACUGUUACACUUUAUAUAUGGAGAGUUUAGAGAGUUCAACUAUGAUGAAACUUAACCAAUUUAAUAUCAAAUUAAUAUAAUAUUUAUUAAGAUAAGUUUAUAUUAAAUUUAAUAUUAAGUGUUAUUAAAAUAAUAGAAUAUUUAUCUACAAUAUAAACAUCAAAUUAAAUUUAAUAUAAAACUAUUAAAAUAAUAUUAUUUUUGGAAUAGUUAAUCUAAAAUCAAAUUUUAUGGUAAAGUCCCAGUAAGAGUGUAACACUUCCCCUACUCAACCUGUAACACCCUGAAUUUGGGCCUAGAAGUUUUGGGCCUUGAGCAUGGGAGCGGUUGAAGGCAGCUUAUAAUAUUUUGUUGUGCAUGUAAAUUUCAUUAAUGAAGGCUUGUUUUAGUGGUUAAGUGUAAUGAGAAGUGUUGGAGAAGUCCUGGGUUCAAAUCUGGACUCUAGCAAAUAUUUUGGUUUAAGGUGAAUGAAACCCUGGGUGUAGUAGGUAGGCCUUAAGAAUAUUGUUGGAGAAAUUGUGACACAAAAAGCCUUGUGGCUUAGUGGCAAGUAGCGUGUGAAUCAUUUAAGGGGAGGCAUGGGUUCGAAUCCCAUGGCAAGCAAAGAGCAUUUAUUUUGCUAACAGGGGGCGGCAAGAGUUGGUGUUGAAUUUAAACUCUGAUGAUGGAGGGAUCCCACAUCGAGAAGCUGACAUAAGAGUGGAUGCGAAGCUGGCUUUAAAUAGAGAGAACCAUGAGGAGAGUAAAGAUACCUUUCUUGGCUGAUCCCUUUCGCUUCAUGGCGUGCUCGUUUGGGUUGGGCGUCGGCUAAGAGUGCUCGGAGCGCGGAUUAACUCUAGUCUCCUAUCAUGUGUGUAUUUCUCACUACUCUAGUUGUAGGAUGGCUACUUCGAGCCGCAAUGGGCCGAAAGGGGCCAUGUGGGCCCAAUGGGCCUACGGGCCCAAUUGGAUAAGUUGUUUAAUUGUGUAGUAAAUAUUGGACUAGGCUAGGUGAAUCUCAUAUCUGUGGCUAGAUUUGGGCUAAAAGGGCCACACGAGCGUGUGGGCCCAUUUGGGCCGAGAAAGGGCUUUAGGCCCAUUCGUAUUGUUAUCCCUGUUUAGAAUACUUUAGUUUACAAAAUUACCAAAAUACCCUUGGUUUACAAAUUACAAAAUACCUCUGGUUUGUAAAAUUACCAAAAUACACUUGGUUUAUAAAAUCACCAAAAUACCCUUGGUUUGUAAAAUUACCAAAAUACCCUUGGUUUGUAAAAGUAUCAAAAUACCCUUAGUUUGUAAAAUUACCAAAAUACCCCUUGUUUGUAAAAUUAUCAAAAUACCCCUAGUUUGUAAAAUAACCAAAAUACCCCUGAUUUGUGAAAUUACUGAAAUACCCUCAACUUUUAAAAUUAUUGAAAUACCCUCGACUUGUAAAAUUACCAAAGUACCCUUGAUUUAUAGAAUUACCAUUUUACCCUCGAUUUACAAAAUUAUUGAAAUACCCCUGUAGGGUAGAAUUACCGAAAUACCCUUGUAGGGUAGAAAUACUGAAAUACCCUUGUAGGGUAGAAAUAUCAAAAUAACCUUGUAGGGUAGAAAUAUCGAAAUACCCUUAUAGGGUAGAAUUACCGAAAUACCCCUGUAGGGUAGAAUUUCCGAAAUACCCCUAUAGGGUAGAAUUACUGAAAUACCCCUAUAGGGUAGAAUUACCGAAAUACCCUUGUAGGGUAGAAAUACCGAAAUACCCCUGUAGGAUAAAAAUACCGAAAUACCCCUGUAGGGUAAAAAUACCGAAAUACCCCUGUAGGGUAGAAUUACUAAAAUACCCCUGUAGGGUAGAAUUAUCGAAAUACCCUUGUAAGGUAGAAAUACCGAAAUACCCCUGUAGGGUAGAAUUACUGAAAUACCCUUGUAGGGUAAAAUUAUCGAGAUACCCUUGUGGGGUAAAAUUACUAUUUUACCCCUAGUGUGUUAAAUGACUGUUUUGCCCUUGUGGGCAAGUGACUGACUUGGACUGUGUGGUUGACGGAUUUGAUUGUGAAUAUAUGUUGGUGAUAUAAAUGACUUGACUGUGAUUGUUUGAUUCAAAUAUGGACAUGAUAUUCUGAUUCUGUAUGUUGUAUGCCAUGACAUGUAUAUCUGUUGCAUGGGAUAUAGGUUAUAUUGAUGGAGGAAGCGUUCUGGCAGCCUCGCUGCAAUCUGGUGGCCUCGCCACAUAUAUCUGUUCUGGUGACUUCGUCACAAUAUUUGGCAGCCUCGCUGCAAUCUGGUGGCUUCGCCACAUAUAUAUAUAUAUCUGUUCUGGUGGCCUAGCCACAAUAUCUGUAUCUGGUGACUUCGUCACAAUAUCUGGCAGCCUCGCUGAAAUUUCUGUGGUGUGUAGCGGUUGGGUGGGUCGAGUAGUCUCCUCACAUGGUGUAAGGUUGGUACGGGGGUGUAUACGGCUGGAUUGGGUUGGGAUUGCAUUCACAUUUUGAUUUUGAUUCUGUCACCUGAUUCUGAUUCUGAUUCUAGUUCUGAUAAUGUUUCUUAUUCUAUAAUAGGUUAAAGCCCAUCUGGUACUAUCUGUUAUAGUGGGCUAAGGCCCAAUUGAUACUGAAACUAUAAGUAAGGCUGGGGCCAGACUUUUAAUUCUUUUAUAUGACUAACUGUUCCUUUUUAUAGUAGGGGAUUUCACACUGAGUUUUCGUAAACUUACCCCGUUUAUUAACCUUUCAGGUAAUUUCCAAACUUAGACGGAUCGGAGCUGCGAGGGGCUCGGAGGAAGCCACACACUGUUUAUUUUAUAGUUUUGAUUAUUACUUUUAAAUGUUUUAUGCGGGUUGUAGUAAAGCCGUUGUAAUUUUCUGGAUUUCAAAUUUGGAAUUUUAUUUAUUGUUCUUAUAAUUGCUAGUAUUAGAACACGGUUUUCCAAAGCAACUACUGUUGUUCAAAACAUCAGGUAUCCGCAAUUGUUUUUAAAUUAAGCUUUCGCAACUACCAAGAUUUUUAAAAAGUUGUUGAGAAUGUUAUUUAGCUGAGGUUUUCUAACAAGGUUUAAAAAGGGUAUAAGUUUUUAAUUAUUAAGAAGGGUUUUUAAUGGAAACAUGGUUUUCGAAAAACACUUCAAUGUGACACGCCAGAUUCGAGCCAAACUUAACGUCUGGGCCAGGUUUGGGGUGUUACAUUUAGUGGUAUCAGAGCCAAGUUGCAACAACUCGGCUGUGGAUUGGGUUUUCAAAGGUUGAAUUUUAGAAAAUUAUUUUCAACCACGUGGUCUGUUUGAAGUAUUUCUCUUAAAAAGUGUGGCACACCGAGUCUCCGUUGCCGAAUCCGUAAGUCUUCUGGAUACUUUUGUCUGUUUAGAAAUUGAAAUACUGUGGAUUCCUUAGAUAUUGGUCUGAAUUUAAAUUUGGUUUUUAUUUUAUGUGGAUGUGAUGUUUGGAUAUAGAAAUUGUAUAUAUGUGUGAUAAAUAUGUGUCUGCUUUAGUGAAUAAAUGUUGUAUGUAUGAGAUGUUUCAAGUUCUAGUUGAAGUGUGAUAGUGAUAGUAGGACCGGAGGGCACAGCGGUAGCGUAGUGGGGUAGAUGUUACACGACCACUUUGUUAGAUGGAAAUUUCAGGGACGAAAUUUCUUUAAGGGAGGUAGAGUUGUAACACCCUGAAUUUGGGCCUAGAAGUUUUGGGCCUUGAGCAUGGGAGCGGUUGAAGGCAGCUUAUAAUAUUUUGUUGUGCAUGUAAAUUUCAUUAAUGAAGGACUGUUUUAGUGGUUAAGUGUAUUGAGAAGUGUUGGAGAAGUCCUGAGUUCAAAUCUGGACUCUAGCAAAUAUUUUGGUUUAAGGUGAAUGAAACCCUAGGUGUAGUAGGUAGGCCUUAAGAAUAUUGUUGGAGAAAUUGUGACACAAAAAGCCUUGUGGCUUAGUGGCAAGUAUCAUGUGAAUCAUUUAAGAGGAGGCAUGGGUUCGAAUCCCAUGGCAAGCAAAGAGCAUUUAUUUUGCUAACAGGGGGCGGCAAGAGUUGGUGUUGAAUUUAAACUCUGAUGAUGGAGGGAUCCCACAUCGAGAAGCUGACAUAAGAGUGGAUGCGAAGCUGGCUUUAAAUAGAGAGAACCAUGAGGAGAGUAAAGAUACCUUUCUUGGCUGAUCCCUUUCGCUUCAUGGCGUGCUCGUUUGGGUUGGGCGUCGGCUAAGAGUGCUUGGAGCGCGGAUUAACUCUAGUCUCCUAUCAUGUGUGUAUUUCUCACUACUCUAGUUGUAGGAUGGCUACUUCGAGCCGCAAUGGGCCGAAAGGGGCCAUGUGGGCCCAAUUGGAUAAGUUGUUUAAUUGUGUAGUAAAUAUUGGACUAGGCUAGGUGAAUCUCAUAUCUGUGGCUAGAUUUGGGCUAAAAGGGCCACACGAGCGUGUGGGCCCAUUUGGGCCGAGAAAGGGCUUUAGGCCCAUUCAUAUUGUUAUCCCUGUUUAGAAUACUUUAGUUUACGAAAUUACCAAAAUACCCUUGGUUUACAAAUUACCAAAAUACCUCUGGUUUGUAAAAUUACUAGAAUACCCUUGGUUUAUAAAAUCACCAAAAUACCCCUGGUUUGUAAAAUUACCAAAAUACCCUUGGUUUGUAAAAUUAUCAAAAUACCCUUAGUUUGUAAAAUUACCAAAAUACCCCUUGUUUGUAAAAUUAUCAAAAUACCCCUAGUUUGUAAAAUAACCAAAAUACCCCUGAUUUGUGAAAUUACUAAAAUACCCUCGACUUUUAAAAUUAUUGAAAUACCCUCGACUUGUAAAAUUACCAAAGUACCCUUGAUUUAUAGAAUUACCGUUUUACCCUCGAUUUACAAAAUUAUUGAAAUACCCCUGUAGGGUAGAAUUACUGAAAUACCCUUGUAGGGUAGAAAUAUCAAAAUACCCUUGUAGGGUAGAAAUAUCGAAAUACCCUUAUAGGGUAGAAUUACCGAAAUACCCCUGUAGGGUAGAAUUACCGAAAUACCCCUGUAGGGUAGAAUUACUGAAAUACCCCUAUAGGGUAGAAUUACCGAAAUACCCUUGUAGGGUAGAAUUACCGAAAUACCGUUGUAGGGUAGAAAUACUGAAAUACCCCUGUAGGAUAAAAAUACCGAAAUACCCCUGUAGGGUAAAAAUACCGAAAUACCCUUGUAGGGUAGAAUUACUAAAAUACCCCUGUAGGGUAAAAUUACCGAAAUACCCUUGUAAGGUAGAAAUACCGAAAUACCCCUGUAGGGUAGAAUUACUGAAAUACCCCUGUAGGGUAGAAUUAUCGAGAUACCCUUGUGGGGUAAAAUUACCAUUUUACCCCUAGUGUGUUAAAUGACUGUUUUGCCCUUGUGGGCAAGUGACUGACUUGGACUGUGUGGUUGACGGAUUUGAUUGUGAAUAUAUGUUGGUGAUAUAAAUGACUUGACUGUGAUUGUUUGAUUCAAAUAUGGACAUGAUAUUCUGAUUCUGUAUGUUGUAUGCCAUGACAUGUAUAUCUGUUGCAUGGGAUAUGGGUUAUAUUGAUGGAGGAAGCGUUCUGGCAGCCUCGCUGCAAUCUGGUGGCCUCGCUACAUAUAUAUAUCUGUUCUGGUGGCCUAGCCACAAUAUCUGUAUCUGGUGACUUCGUACAAUAUCUGGCAGCCUCGCUGCAAUUUCUGUGGUGUGUGGCGGUUGGGUGGGUCGAGUAGUCUCCUCACAUGGUGUAAGGUUGGUAUGGGGGUGUAUACGGCUGGAUUGGGUUGGGAUUGCAUUCACAUUCUGAUUUUGAUUCUGUCACCUGAUUCUGAUUCUGAUUCUGAUUCUAGUUCUGAUAAUGUUUCUUAUUCUGUAAUAGGUUAAAGCCCAUCUGGUACUAUCUGUUAUAGUGGGCUAAGGCCCAAUUAAUACUGAAACUAUAAGUAAGGCUGGGGCCAGACUUUUAAUUCUUUUAUAUGACUAACUGUUCCUUUUUAUAGUAGGGGAUUUCAUACUGAGUUUUCGUAAACUUACUCCGUUUAUUAACCUUUCAGGUAAUUUCCAAACUUAGACGGAUCGGAGCUGCAAAGGGCUCGGAGGAAGCCACACACUGUUUAUUUUAUAGUUUUGAUUAUUACUUUUAAAUGUUUUAUGUGGGUUGUAGUAAAGCCGUUGUAAUUUUCUGGAUUUCAAAUUUGGAAUUUUAUUUAUUGUUAUUAUAAUUGCUAGUAUUAAAACACGGUUUUCCAAAGCAACUACUGUUGUUCAAAACAUCAGGUAUCCGCAAUUGUUUUUAAAUUAAGCUUUCGCAACUACCAAGAUUUUUAAAAAGUUGUUGAGAAUGUUAUUUAGCUGAGGUUUUCUAACAAGGUUUAAAAAGGGUAUAAGUUUUUAAUUAUUAAGAAGGGUUUUUAAUGGAAACAUGGUUUUCGAAAAACACUUCAAUGUGACACGCCAGAUUCGAGCCAAACUUAACGUCUGGGCCAGGUUUGGGGUGUUACACAACCACCGAAGACCAACAAUUGCCAGCCACCGGGAUGCCACAGUAAUAGCUGCAAGUAUCGCUGUGUAUAGUGAUGCAAGUGCGACACCCUUACGAUAGAGCUUUUGUUGAGCUUGUGAAGAGUCCAAUCGAAUAUAUACAAUUAGGCUUUAGUGAUUGCAAUUAUGUCCAUAAGUAUCGUUCUGAUAAUUCACAAUUACUUAAUCAUGGAGUUAGUCCAGAAGGAGUACCAUGUUUGAAAAAUUCUUAUUGUAUACUCUUUACGAAAACAAUUCAUCCAAUUGUUUUGUCCAAUGAUCUCUUCAUGUGUGUGUUACCCUUAUAUGAUAUCCUUGAUUCCUUUGAGUUAAAUUCGUUCACUCAAUACAAUCUUAUUUUAUCUCUUUUUCAUUACAGUGUCUUCUUAAUGAUUAAUACGAUCAUUGUCAACAAAUGAUUGUUAUAAAUUGCUCGUUUGAGAACAAGUAACCCGUGGCCACAUUUCAUAUUUAUCAAUCCACACAAUGCCAAUGAGAGGAUAUCAUUAACUCUUUAAUUGAGUUAUGAAUUCCAUUGUUGCUAGUAAAGCCAUGCCAUACACAGUCAUGUACCUAACAUAUCGGCUAUGGGCUCGAUCAUCUUUGGAGGAUAAGCCUCCAUUUAUAUCAAAGCACAUGAGUUGCAUACGCAUGGUUAGUGACUAACUCAUGGUUUAGGCAAAUCAUGCCAUGAAUGUCACAAGUAAAUUAAUUCACAAACAGAUUCAGAAUUAAGUCAUCUUGGGUUCAAUCCAAUGUAUCAUUCUACCAAUGAAUACAUCUAUGUCUCUACCCAUGGAAUCAGCUGCUCCGAUAGCCAAGACUAGACAUCUCCCCAAUUGGAAUUGUAGACAACAUAAUAAUCUUUCUCAGUAUUUGAAUCAAAUGCUAACUUUGAUUCUUUUACGAGAUUACGGACUUAUUUAUAUUAUCUACUGAAGUAAGUUGUAUUUCUCGCAAUGUAAACGUUCUUACAAUGCCACUUCUUCAAUUUAAAAUUAGACAAUCAAUGAGCUAAUAUUUGGUUGUCACAAUUUUGCUAUGUAUGCAAAAUAUAAAAAAUAGAAAUACAAAAGACAAAAUAGUCAAAUGUGAAACUAACUUUAUUUAAUCAUCAUUCAAAUAAAUAGAAAACAGUUACAUGUUUACUACACUAUAGGCACAUUUCCUAGUAGAUUGUAGCGACCACUUCCUUACUAUAAAGAAAUCACUGAUAAAGCUCAGGAUUUCUACUCUAGUAUACGAAAUACUUUCUCUUCAUUCUUCUAAUUUGAAGAUAGUAAGAUUUUUGAAAAGAGAGAGGGAGAGAGAGAGAGAGAGAGAGAGAGAGAGAGAGAAGAGAGUGAGAGAGAGAGAGAGAGUUGUUCUGGUUCUCCUUAGUCUUAAGUUGAAAAUACUUAUUGGAGAAGGAAGAAAAACUCUUCUUCCAAUCCUGGUCACCCAGAUUUAUACAACCUUUGUUCGUAUGAUAAAUUAACACGGGUUACAACCCUAAUCAAGCUGUUGUGUGGGUGCUUCAAACUUGUAUGGAAACAUGUAUGAUAGUCCAAUCUUUUCAUAUUUUUGAUUUGUCUAAUUGUUCAUUUCUAAAUAUUUCAUUAGUGUAUAGCCUACACAUUAACUAUACUAAUUUAGGUUGCCUUCACCUUAGCGACAUCCCCUACCACUCACGAACCCUUGACAACUCACUGAGUUCCUUUCUUAGAAAUCCCUUAUCACUCCUUAGCUAACUAUUCACCUUACCUUUUUUUUUCACCAAAAACAUCUUUGGACGUAUAAAACCAUGUCAACCUAUUCUCUUUAGAGACUUUACCCAAGGGCGCACUCGUGAGCUUCAACUCUCAGUCAAAUCUAACAUCUCACUUUCUCAGGUCCUAUUAAAAAAUUCUUGCAAGAUUCAAACAUCAUGGCUUCGUCUGGCUGGGUGUUACAAUUUUGGUUAAUAGAGUGUACAAAAGGUGCUCCUUGAUGAUUGAAUGAUGAAUUUUCUUCGUCGGUGUGAUGGAGUUUCCCUUUUAUGGGUUUGAUAUAAUCUUGGGAAUGGGUUGGUUGAUUGUGCAUAAAGCCAAAAUAGACUUCGCACUUAAGAGGGUCACAUUGCGAAUUGGUGAAGGGAUGGAAAUUAUUAUGGUUGGUGAGUGAACUCAAUUCCUAUCCAAUAUGGUCUCGGUAAUUAGGGCCGAAAAGUUGAUAGGGAAAGGCUGUGAAGCCUACCUCGCCUAUGUGGUGGGUUCACCAAGCAAACUGAUAAUAGUUCACGACAUACACACUGUGAAAGACUAUCCUAAUGUAUUUCUAGAUGAGCUACUUAGAAUACCCCUAGACCUCGAAGUGGAAUUCUCCAUUGAGUUAUACCUAGAUAGUUCUCCAGUAUCCAUUACACCUUAUUGAAUGGUACCAAAAGAGCUUAAGGAACUAAAGAUCUAACUACAAGAGUUGCUCGAUAGGGGUUUCAUUCAACGCAGUGUGUCGCUAUGAGGAUUGCUAGUAUUGUUUGUAAAGAAGAAAAAUGGCAGCUUGAGAAUGUGCAAUGACUACAAACAAUUGAAUAAAUUGACUGUAAAAAAUAAGUACCCAUUGCCACAAAUUAAUAAUCUGUUCAAUCAGCUAUGAGGUGUCACAAUAUUUUCAAAUAUAGGCAUGCAAUCAUGGCACUACUAGCUUAAGGUAAAGGAAGCAAAUGUAACACCCUUAGCUCGUAUCCUUCGCCAAAACAGAGUUAUAGAGCAUUACCGAAAAUUUUAGAACAUUUACACAUAAAUCACGUCAAUCACUAUUCAUUUCUUGAGAUUAUUUAAAACAUCCUUUAAAUGGACCCUCGAGGCCCAAUAUGAGCAUUAAAAUCGAAUCGGGACUUAAUCGAAAACUCUAGGAAUUUUUUGCGACAUUUUAAAAAUUUUCCAGGGUGCAGGGCUCACACGCCCAUGUGGUCCAAGGGACAUGCCCAUGUGACCUUGGGACAAGCCCAAGCUGUAGGCCGUGUUUGACCCUGUGUAACUCUCUGACUUGUGCACAUGGCCAUGCCACAUGCCCAUGUGCGAAGCCGUGUGAUAAAUUAUAUUUUUCAAAUUUAGGUGCAGGUUUCACAUGGCCAAUACACACGCCUGUGUUCUAAGCCAUGUAGCACACACGGCUGAGACACACGCCUGUGUCUCUGUGCAUGUGCUCAAUUCUGAGCAUUCUAUUUCUCAAAUUUAAGGUGCAGGAUACACAUGGCCUAACCACACCCUUAUGUACCAGGCUGUGUGUCACACACAGUCUAGACAGACGCAUGUGUGUUUGCCUAUGUGGACAAAAUGAAGUCGUUUCUAGCUUCAUUUCUCACCCAAAAUCAUACCAAUAACCUGCACUUAAACUCACAUCCAAAUACCAACCAUACCAAGCAUUGAAAUUAAGCAAACUCUAUCAUUCAACAUGGCAUAUCAUUACAUGCAUACAUGUUUAUAAUCUUACCUUGGUAUAUUCCAUAUGUUAGACAUUAUUUGAUCAAAUAGUUAACACACAUGUAGCUACCAUAGUAUGACAUUACAAAUAUAUAUCAAAACAACCAUUACUAGCCAUUCCAAUGGCUAGACUACAAACCACAUAUUUAAGCCAUCUAUGGCCAAGUUACCCUAUACAUGCCAUUAUACCAAAAUGAUUUUACUAUAUAUACCAAAACAAGCUAGUAGAUAGUGUGACGAUGCUCCAAUGCUCUCCAACCUUCGCGAGCUUUCGAGCACUAUAAAACAGGGAAAAAUAAAACUAAACUAUAAAAUAGAGUUAGCAUUACAUGAUUAGUAAGUUUGUAUGACAAUAACUAAACUUACCAAUCCCAUUUAUUAAAUCUAAGCAUACAAUAUCAUGUUUUCCAUCUAUUUGGGAAAAUUGCCUAAACACAUGCAUUCCAUCAAACAUGUUAGUCACAAAAUUUUCAUAUACAUCAAGUAACAUAGAUGAGCUCACCAUGCAAUAUUCUUUCAAGACAUUAUCAUUUCAUCUCAUAAUUCUCUCAUCAUGCCAAGAGUUUUGUUCGUUGAAUCAUUGAAAUUCUAAUGGAUACUAAAGUAGUACACUCGAGGUGUACGAUUCAAUAACUCGCCAAAUCUUAUUCAAGAGUACCCAUAGGGCACUUAAUCAAGGACCACAUUCUCGAGCCACAUAUCAUAUUACAGGAUUACCAGUCCAGGCUAAAUCCAUUAUGUAACGUAUGCUCAAAAGAGCUCAAUUA